rnacentral:lncRNA from 1 species
AAGAAAAGGGGACGCCCUAGGUCUUCGAAGCAAGUAUUAGAUGAAUAAAUAAGCAUGAGAAGAUCGUAGGCUGAUUCAAAUAUUAUGUAUGGAGACAGCUACAAAAGUGGAACUUCUAAAGCAACUAACCUUUAAAAAUAUAAGGUUUUGAAAGUGAUGUCUGCUUUUUCCAUCCAGAAUCAACAACUUUGUCAACCAUAGGAAUAUACUCAUCAUAUCGUGAUAAGUGACCAAGCUAGAUUUUCCAUUAGCUUUAACCUGAAAAACAGGGACUUGAGAUAAUCAGAAGAGAAAGGUUGAUCCUCUACAUUAAUUUUUGUGAGGGAUUGAGAAAGUGUCAACACUUUUCUAUGACAUAUUCACAUUGUAUAUGGUAAAGUUAUACCUUUCUUAAGAAAGGAAAAUUAGUUUUAUAGAAAAAAAUAUUUCUUACAAGGAACCGUGUGCUUAGUUAUAUUUCAUGAAGAAUUUGUACUUUAUAUCAUAAAUAAAAUCAUAGACAUUAUAAAUAAUAAUUAUCAAACAACUAAUGAACUCUUGAAUAAUGUCACUUUACUUGAUUUUUUUAGUAGCAAAAGAUUGCACAACCCGACCUCUAAAAAUUUGAUCUAAAUUUGAAUUCCAUGUAACUGGACACCUUUUAAGGGUAUACACAGAUGCUUUUAAACCAAUCAAAGAGACGAUAUUAAGCAAUUGAUAAUUUUGCACUUGUGUUGCAAUUAAGCAAAUACUAAAUGAUCUACAAGCACCAAAUUAAAUAUUUGCACAAGCUACCACCAGACUCAACACUAAAUAAGGGAGGAUUCAAUUAAAGUUAUAUAAAACAUUAUUUUCAAUAGCAAUAAAAGCACACAGGAUGCUCUGAUACCAGAUUUUGAGCGGAAUAGAUGAUAGGGUUGGACAAAACUCCCAAACCGAGCUGAACCAACCAGACUCGAAUCGAACCGAGCAGUUCUUCUUAAAUUAAAUACUCGAACGGAUAUUUGAAUCCAAAAUCAAUGAGUUCGUUCUCGGAUCUAAAUCAAGAACCGAAUCUUUCCAAUUUUUAAUUUAUUUAUUUUAAAAAAACAAAAUUAUUUUAUUUUUUCCAAAUUAAUUUGCUAACUAGUUAAUUUAGUUCAAACCCAAAAAUAUGAUUUACCUAUUUCUAAUUUUCAGUCCAAGCCCAACAUAAUCAAAUUGAUCUAAAUUUUAUCCAAAACUGUUAUUCUACUAUAGUAUCGUUUCUAUUGUUUUGGAGAAAUCAAACUGAAACUUGACAACGCCUCUCUUAAUUAUUGUGAGCUCGCUAUCUUCCUCUUAUUGUGAUUCUAACAAUCAAAACUACAAAGAAUUCAGCAAAGAGAGAUGCAAAAGAUACGUCAAAUUGGACUACAUUAUUUUGUAAGAAUUAAUAUUGAACAUGUCAUUAGUAGAAUUAGUGUAGUUUUGUAAAUAUUAAAAAAAUUAAUUAUAGUAGAGAACCUAGAAAUCAAAUGGAACAUAAUCGAACUAACCCGGAUAGAACCAAAUCCAAACGUUUCCACUUACUAAAUAUUCGAAAAUUUCGGGUCCGAUUCAGUUCUUGUUAAAAUUGAAUCGAACCGGACCAUGUCCAGUCUUAAUAAAGGGUCACCAAGGCUUUAUCUGGGCUCAAUUUCUCCAAUAAUCGACACCAUUAUGAAAUCAACCCAAAAUCCCUUAAACCACUUCUCACUUACGAUUGCUCAAUGUUCACCCACUUAGGAUGUGCACAGGAAGAGAUAAUACAAAGAAGAAAAUAGCAUAAAGACAGUGAAAGGGAGUAGUAGGCAGAAUUCAAAAAUAAAGCCCCCCGUUUUCACAUGCAGGGGAAAGAGAUAAAUAGUGAAAUCAUAUGACCAAGAGACGAGGUAGCCCAAGAUAUAUAAGUAUCAAUUAGGGUACAAUGAUGGGUCAAGCCCAAUAUUGAGGUUAGCGGACUGCUAAAUGGGUUACCAAAUGUUAGCCGUCCAAGUAAGUGAAAUGGGCUAUGAGUAGCAUUAAUUAAAUUAGGCUGCUUCAAAUGGCUAAAACAGUUUUUGGAUAGGGGUAUUUCAUUAUAGCUUCGAUUUUCUGUUCAGUCAUUUGUUCAAUAUCAAUUGAGAAAAUAUACCUAGUAAAAUCAUAGUCCGAAGAGGUCGUUUAACAACAAUUUGCUCAACACCAACUCUUCACACCAUGCCUCGCCCCUUAACUCUUUCCUAGUUUCCUUGAACCCAUCUGGUAAAACGACCGAGCAAGACUCGCCCCAGCCGGAUGGCUCCCUCAAUACCCAAAGGAAGGGGAAUAACAACUCCAAUCCAAGAGCUAACUCAUUGAGUUGAUCCUGAUUCGGUGUCACCUCACUCCCUAAAGUAACGUAAACAACUGACCGUUUAUUUUGAUGAUCAAGCCAAGUUUUGAUUGAAACCCAUGAUUGACUGUAAUCUUCUUUCACUUGGGGGUGGCAUUAAACCUACUGGAAUCACUAGCUUACGGUGAAGCUCUUUGAGUAAUUUCAACCAGACCAAUUCAAACUCAUUGUAGUGUCUUAUGAAAAUAGCCUCGCAUCCAUCAAUUACCUUACCAUUACGAUACUUAUCUGAAACUCAUGACUCAUUCUGUCGAGUUGCCGUGAUAAUCCAGUUUGCUUCGUAUCGUCGAUAAGACGCUUUUGUCGCAAACCGUACCUACUUUGGGGGAAUUAUGAAAUCUUAUACUCUUCUCCUCUCAUCAAAGCCGUCAAUCCUGAUCUUUGUUGAUCCGAGAAAUGCUAAAAACCAUGCGUUAAUGAUCAUGGAAAAGGCAAGAGAAAUUCCACGUUUAAUGGGUUGUCUAUAGUUGAAUUUGUAGCAUGAUUUUGUUGGGUUGCCAUUGACAUUUACCUAGAGAAGCUCUACUUUUAACAAAGAGAACAAGGUGAAUUCUACAUUUUGGUUCAUCAAUGCUUGCUUACCCUGGAUUGUGUAUAUUAAUUGUUUUUAUACGAUUACAAUGCAAACAAAUUGUCAUAAUAGCUAUAUUUUUGGUGUCCUACAGAUUUUCUCAUUACCUAUAGAAGCUAAUCCAAAUUUAGAACAUAAAAUUUGUGAAAGUCAUGUGUUCUUUCUCGAAUCUACAAACCAAGAGGAUCAACAGAAACUCCAAAUGAUGCAGCCAUGGAAAUUAAAGAGGGCUCUAUUUUAGCAACAGACACCACAUCGAUCCUGUUAAAUAUUUUUCAUCAUUUUGCAUGUAUUUAUUUCUGUUUUGCGAAUGAUUUGCUUCCCCGACUAGUGUUUGCCGUUGCGCAACGAGGAUCGACCUGUUCGAUUUUUAACAGUCACCUCCAAUAGAUGUAUGCAAGGAUUUCAAGGGACACACUUAUUCAAACGGUUGCUUCAAUUUCUAUAAAUUCUCGGCGAAUUCUCGUUUGCAAAACACAUUAAAAAAUUUAUUCUUCUUUCUUUCUCUUGGCAUCAAUCAGUUAUUUUCGAGUAUCUUCUUAGUUUGAUCAAAUAAUCACAAUUUGAAUCAAACGUCUCCAUUAUAUCCUGAGAGAGAUUUUCUAUCAUACCCCAGUUUGUAACUUUGUUGGAUAGGGGAGAAAUAUCUCUUAAAAGAUAACGUUUUUUCGUGCCUUGGAGUUCAUUAAGUAUUCAGAUUUCCCUACAUUUUUCUCAACAGAUCCAUCAUGAUGAAGCCUUCUUGAUCGAAUAUUCCCUUUUGAGUUCAGGUUUACAGUAUCCUGUUAGUUCACAUAAAGGCAGACAUUGAAGAAAUAGGCGGGAAUCAUAUCGGGAAAUUUUUGGAGGUUGACAGAGAUCAAACUUGUUUGUGAUGGCUGGAUGCCAACUAAAAUACUUAUUGGGGAGUUGCAGAAAUAUUGAAGUCAUCCCCGAUCAAAAACUAAUGUGAUUUCGAGGACAUUUACAUAGUGGACGUCACAUUGGUUUUGAAGACAAUUAUGCAAUAAUUUACGUAGAAUAAUGCUAUCUGGAGGAAAAUUUAGACAUUAUGAAUCCUCUUGAACUAAAUCUUAACCUUCGGCUUGGAGUUGAAGAUCAAAUGUUUAAACUUGAUUUUAAUGUUAGAAGUAACAGACUUGUGCUCCUUAUGGGGAAAUUUUAGGAAUGGCAACCGGAUAAGAGUUAUAACAUCUUAAUUUCACGUCGCUCUUUUUCAUUUACUUAUUUAUUUAUUUUUUGAUAUUUUAACAUAUCAUUAAAUCUAAAAAUUGAAAUUAAAGAAUAAGCCUAUCCACUCCCGAAUUUCCCUACUAACUGGAAAAAUCCGUGUCCAAAAUUUAUUGUUAUUUAUUCUCAUGAUCAGUGAACUUGAACCUGAACUAUUAAUUACGGUAAGAUAUUUCUUCCGGGUAUUAAUGGCUAUAUAGACAACCGAUUGAAUGGGAAAAAAAGCACCAACAGUUCUCCAUUCUUCUCUCUUAUUCUCCAUUUUCUCUUGUGCAGCAGCAUAUUAUGUUUAUUCCCAGUUGAUAGUGGUAUCAGAGCCCUAUUUAGACCAAAUCUUUCUGUCCUUUCAGGUAUCCUGCAGUGCAAAAAUCCAAUCCAUUUUGCAUUGAUUUAUUCAUUAUUAUAGGAGCAAUAACAAUUAAAAACUCAUUUAGAUUUUUCCCCCUUUCCUGAUAUAUAUAUAUAUCGCGCGGGUAGUCGCUAACAAUUAAAAAAGAGAUCAGACGAUUGUGUAAGGAAAAGACAUCUUGAGACGAAAUUUCAAAAAGGGGUGUUUUAUUGGCGAUGAUUUACAAUUGAAAGUAAACAGAAUGCUUCCGAGGGGUGCAAGCACACGAGUACUAAAAGAAGUAUUUAAAUCUAAAUUAAGAAAUUAAAAUUACAUAUUCUCUAUUUGAGAAUGUUUGAUUUGAGAUCCUUUUCUCUAUAUCUUCUCUUCCUUUUAUAUUCCUUUGAUGAUUUUUUCGUGACAAACCGUUUGGAAAUUGUUUGAUUACUAUAUAACUACCUACUUUCUUUAUGGUGGCUAACUUGCCGUGAAACUGUCGUCUCUAACUGUUGUCAUUACUCUUUGUCGUUCAACCGCCUUCAACUGGGCUCCUUGAAUCGUGGAAUGUGAUAAGAUCACUCAAUAACUGCUCUUCUCGAUAACCAUAAUGUUUUGUGCUUGCUAAUAUCUUGGACGAAUCGAAGGUUUGGGUGAGAACGGGGUCAUCGCUCUGAGCGAUCGUAAGAUACUCUAUUCGCUCAAAUUCUGGGCGUCUUGCAAGCUUGGGCGAUGAUGUUACCGUGUUUGUGGGCUUCCACCGCAUUCAUCAAUAAUCCUGUUUGGACCUUUAUCCUGAAUUCCCCAAUUGGGCUUCACUCUUUGGGCUAUUUGAUUUGGGCUACACUUUUAGUGUGUCAACAAUUACCUCCCAAUAUGGCAGAAUUAAUACCAAUUAUUAAUCUUUGCCAUAUUCACUUUGUAUUUUCCAGCAAUAUUUGAAAUUCUCAAGAAUUUCAAUCAUUAUUUCCUUCUCCAGCCUGGAAAGGUGCAACGUUACAAACCCUUAUAAAUCCAAAACACAUGCCAUUUUAUCGCACCACUAAACCACGUCUCUAUAUUUCGUGCUUCCUCCUCGCUAUUUUACUGUUCAUCUUCUUGUUUCUCUGCUACGUUUCUCAGGCAAACCUUAACAAAACUGUAUUUUGUUCCCAAUGGCGACUUCACAAACUCAAUCUGAUGACUCUUUUAUUUCCAGAAAAUCCUUACUAGGCCGUAUGUAAAUCCAAACUUCCUUGUACAAGCUAAUGCUGACCUCAAUGAAUUCUAUCUGGGUCCAUCGUUCAAUAAUACCGAAGCCAUUGGACAAGUGGUGGUGGGUCAACUGUUCCCUUGUACUCAAGGUCCUCCGUUCCUGAACUCUCUGCCAUUGAGGCCGAUUCGCGAAAAAUGUAUUCGCACUUAGCCCAAAGUUGAUGUUAUUUUUCGUAGAUGGCAUGCACGUCUUGUGAAUCAUGGCCCUACCAAAGCGAUUUUUGAUCGUGUUAGGAUUUCAGACUUAUUAGAAAUCACUCUUCAACCCCCAAUUUUCGACCCAGUGCUUUUUCCUAUUACUUUAAGGGAUGUUGGAACCCUAGUAAAUCUUCCGCCUUUGGGCGGUACCAUCUUUCCUGGUAUCUUGAUUUCCAGUGUUGCUCCGAAAUUUGACAAGAAACUUACUGAGUCCUAUUCAAGCCUGCAAGGCUUUUAUAAUCACUCAAGCGCUGAACCUUCUCAUGCUGAGCAUGUGGCCUUUCUUCAAAUUUGACUCUGUAAAUAUAUUCUAUGCGUGCCAAGUAUGAAACUUUCUAUGAGCUACUUACCCAUAGCGCAUGAAUUGGCGCGUAGUAGGCCUUUGAACUUAUGUUCCUUCUUUUUAACUACCCUUUAUAGAGGCAUGGCUUCCCUUCAAUUUCAACUGAAGAAUGGUGCAUCUCCCAUUGGUAGUGGGCCCCUUUGGUUCACUCAACUGUGGUUGAGAGCAUACUUUCCACCACUUGGUGCUCCAUCCAUUUUCCUUCAUUCUGCUAGCUGCUAUGGGCUAGCCAUUGAUCCACUGAACCCUGUAAAUAUGUCAAGUAGGGACAUUUUUUCAUUCUUUUAUACCUUAAAUUCGAUUCCUUCCUUCUUUCAUUUUCCUGCUCACUUGACUCCAGAUUAUGUACAACCUCCAUCCAUCCUAGACAGUGCGAGUGCCUCUCUGCUUGUUUGGGUUCAGUUUUUGAUUGGGAGGGAAUUGUUCCACGAUAUUUUAACUGGAACCAAUGCUAAAGCUGAGGUUGAAAUAUAUGCUCCCUAAUUUUUUGCUCGCUAACUUGGUUUUGGCCAAACUUGGCCUGUUCCUCCUUGCUACUCCAAAUAUUUGACAGACCGUUUUCACACUAUUAAUAAGGCAAAGGCACAAGCUAUGGAUGCUCGCAACAUUUUUUUGACGAGCAAAUUUUCAUUAGCUCCUUUCAAUUCUAGCUGUGCCGUCCAUCCUCUUUUUGAACAGCUUUGGUCAUCAGUAAAACGCCGAUUGUUUGUAACUGAUGCUAAUCGUGCCUUCCAUUUACUGGACCAGCUAGGCACUCCCUCUAUUUCUCCUAUUUUGGUCACCCCUAUGUCCGUUAGAAAUCCUUCCUCCCUUACUCACGCUAAACAUUCUAUCCAUUCACCUGCUUCUCUACCUGCCAAUGCUACUGCAGCUAAAGGUGCCUUAAACCGCAAACGGCCAGCUUCAGCAUCUCCCAUUUUGCAAGACGAUAAUGAUGAUGAUGAUGACGCUCCUCUCAUCCCUACGAGAAAGGUAAUUGAAUUUGUUUAUUCACAAACAUACUUUUCUAUGUACUAAUGGUUUACUUGAAUUUCUCAGAAAAGUUUAGCCUCUCUUUCGAAGGCUUUGGUUUUGGUAGCUCCUGCUCCAUCAUCUUCUGCUGAAGCUGCUUCGUCCAAAUCAGCUGAUGAUGGGAUUAUGCUUAAAGAGAAACCCUUAGUCUCGGAACCUUCAUCACAACCAGUAGAAGGGCCACCUUCUUCCCAGGGCGCCGACCCCCCAAACGUCGAACCAGAAGGUAAUACAUAUUUUGAUCUUUUACCUUUACUUGUGCUACUGGUUUCUGAUUCGUUGCUUCUUGAAUUAUACAGAGGCUCCUAUGGGCUUGCCCGUUGUGGCAGAGUUUUCUCGCCCAGAUAAGGAGAAGUCCCCACAGGUGGUGGAGCCAACUGCUGAUAUGCCUGAACUUCCCAAGAUUGCUGAUGAGGUAACAUUUUGCUUCACUUUCAUUUUCGCUUCGUUUAUUGUAGUGAAAGUCCUGAAUGUUGGCAUUUUUCUUUGCAGGGUGCUGAUGACAUUGUGCAUUCCAUCCAGGACUUGUUUACUUCCUAGGGACAAGUCAAGACGUCUCGCCCUACUUCAACCAGUCAUCCUUCUGCUUAUUCAGAGGAAAAUAUGAAGUUUUUCAAGUAGUCGGUACUUGAGUAUGUGUCUUUUAUGGACAUGGAUAUCGGCCGGGCUAAUGCUACUAAACAUAAGGAUAAGUUUGAGCUAUUGAGUGCGAAAUUGGCGCAAGCACUUACACUUCCGUCGCUCAUGUUUUUGCUGACUUUAAAGCGACGUUGAAGGUUGUUCACUCUGACAUCCUCUCCUUGCUAGUCGAAAAUGUUGAAUUAAAGGUAAGGAGUACUCAAUAUCUUCGUGCUGCAUCUGAAAGAGAGUUUUUGCUUCUAGAGAUUAACAAAGCCGAGAACGAAUUGAAAGAAAUCUCUUCCGACGUUAUGAUCGAAGACUCUUUGAUUACAAGUUUGGCUGUAGAGAUGAAGGAGCUUUAAGCAAAGAUGGACGACUGUAGGGCGAGAAUGGCUGCUAAAAAGCGUAAUGCUUCCCAAAGAAUUGAACGAACCAAGUCUUCACUUGAGCAAUACAAAAAGCUGGAGGUUGAUGAUGAUUUUGUAGCUGAAUUAAAUGUCGUUUCUUCUCAACAGACCGAAGAUUGGGGAGACUUCGGGAAAGAAUUCGUUCGCCCUAGGGUGAAUUGUAAUUAAGACAUCCAAUGCCUUAACUUUCCUUUUGUAACUUCGCACUAAUUGCCAUUGCUAAUUUUGAAUGUAACAGCAGUUAUCGUCAUUAAUGAACGACUAAUUUGUCUACUUGCGUAUUAAUUGACACUGUCCUUAAUCGUCAACCUCCAAAACAUUUAAUUGUUUUAUGCUAAGAUUCAUGUACAUUCUUCCUUGGUAUUUCUGUCUCUUUUCCCAAGACUUGGGGCCAUUUGAUUUCAGUUAUUAGGCACGAAUAUGGCCAUUUAUAUUCUAUCUUUUCACCUUCACGCCUCUAUAAAUGCGUGUGUAUUUCGCACUCAUCAUUUUCAUUUCCAUUCUUUUCUUCAAAAACUAAUCUGCUGUCAUCGUUUGGCAUCUCAACAAUUGAUCCAAAAUUUUCGUCUUCCAUAGAAAUGGAUCAUUUGAUCCACCCAUUUUGCUAUCUGUUUUGAUGUCACCUUUGGUAUGGGAGAUAUAGGAAAUAUUCUUUGACCAGCUAAGUUCUUCCCAUCGUCUCCAUGUUCUUUAUAAGGAGUUCAAUGAUGGAAGGGAAUUUUUGAGGAUGCUUUUCAAGCCACUUUGCUUGCUGAGAGUGCUUCUCAAUCUCUUUGCCCAUUAUUGUAGCAAUGCGAUCAGGACGCAAUCAAGGCCGGUUCACCCUCUUGCUUGACGAUCGAUCGAGAAAUUAGUUUGCUCUCAAUUGUAGCUUAUAGAGUAUUUAGUAUUUUGUAUCUCACAAUUUGUAAUGAAUAUUUGAUAAUAAAGGAAUUUAUUUGAACGUAUUUCGUUCCGGCCUUAUUUAUCUACGAUCGUUCAACGCAAUUUGAUUACGCUUUUAUUUGUUCAUUCUCCCAUAAGGAAGGAACAUACUUUUUUAAAUAUUUGUCAUUAAUGAACCUCAUGUGCUUGGUGCCAUCUAAAUCUUCUAAAUGAUAGGUUCCAUUAGGUAAUACACUAUUUACUUUAUAUGGCCCUUCCCAAUUGGGCGACCACUUGCCAUACUUUGGAUCCUUGCUAUCCAAAGGGAGUAUUGUUUUCCAAACCAAUUCGCCCAGGCUAAAUGACUUGGCUAUAACAUUUUUAUUAUAAAACUUAGCCAUCCUUCGUUUUUGAACUUGCAAUCUAUUUAGGACGUCCAACUUUAAUUCGUCCAACUCCAAUAAGUUUUGAACUAGUGAUUCGGUAUACUCACCAUCACUUAACUUAUGUUGCAAACACACUCUAAUUGAUUGCACAUUGAUUUGAUUUUCAUAGGCAAAAUGGCCUCCUAUCCAUAAGUAGGAAAGGAGUAACUUUGGUACUUGACCGAGGCGACGUCCUAUAAGCCCAAAAGGCCUUGUUUAGACAUUCGUGCCAAUUUUUGACAUUUUCAUCUAUCAUUUUCAUUAUGAUAUUUUUUAGAAUCUUAUUAAAAGAUUCUGCUUGUCCGUUAGAUUGAGCGUAAUAUGGUGUGGAGUUUAUUAAUUUAACUCCAAACUCGCUCAAGAAUUUAUUCAUUUGAUUUCCAUUUAAAGAAGUUCCGUGAUCUGCCAUCAAAGUUUGUGGAAUCCCAAAUCUAUAAAUAAUAUGAUCACGGAUAAAUUCUAUGACGCUCUUUUGGGUGAUCUCCUUUAAAGGUAUCGCUUCUACCCACUUAGUGAAAAAAUCAGUUGCAACUAUAACAAAGGUAUGUUGUUUAGACGAUGGGGGAUAAAUCUUCCCUAUCAGGUCAUCGCCCAACCCUUGAACGGCCAGGGUUUGAUAAUGGGUGUCAUCUCUCUUGCUGGCGCCCUUUGUAUUGGACUAUGCUUUUAACAUACUAGACAACUCUUCGUAUAUUGAACACAUGAUUUUCCCAUCUUGGGCCAAAAAUAUCCAUUCCUAAUAAUUAACCAUCUCAUCUUUUGUCCAGUUUGAUGAGCUCCACAUAUCCCUUCAUGCACUUCAACCAUGAUUGUUCUGGCUUCUUGCAAACUUACACAUUUUAGUAAUAUACCAUCAGAGCGUUUCUUAAACAACUCUUCAUCUAUCAGUGUAGAGUUCAGCAAACGCAACUUCAUUUUUCUACUACCUCCUUUAUUAGGUUCUUUAAGGAACCUUUUAAUCUCUGCCCUCCAAUCUAUUGCAUCUCCAUCUUGUAUGCAAUGAAUUUCAAUCUUUCUCGCCCUUCUUUGGACUACGGGCAAUAUUACUCUAUAUUCAUAAGUAGAUUUUCAAUUUAAAACCUUUGAAUACCCUGAGGCCAUCUGGGCCAAUUCAUUUGCUAUGUCAUUAUAUAUCCUAUUAACAUAUUGAAGUUCUACUUGGUCGAAUUCUUCCAACAAUUCUUGGGUGAUUUUAUAUUGACUUAUAAUGGAAUCACUUUGACACUUAAAAUCACCGAUCAAUUGGUGAAUUACCAAUUGAGAAUCGCCUCUAACGAUCACAUUCUUUACCUCCAUAUCUAUCAUUAAUUCUAAGCCCAUGAUUAAGGCUUCAUAUUCGGCUUGAUUGUUGGUGCACAUCCUAUCCAAAAUAAAUGCGAACUUAUAACAAAUCCCUAAAGGAUUUAUCAAUGCUACUCCUACUCCUGUACCUUUAGAGGUUUUCGACUCGUCGAAAUAUAAAACCCAAGGUUUUAAUUCGAAUGAAUUGAUUUCUAAUUCAAUUUCUUCAGGCAUGUUAAGGCAUGGAUGAUCGGCCAGAAAGUUAGCCAAAGCUUAUUUUUUAUUGCCUUUUGGGGUAUGUAUUGUAUUUCGAAUUCUGAUAAUGUUAACGUCCAAAUGCCUAUCCUUUGGUGUAAAAUAGGGCGAGAGAACAUAUAUUUAACGAAAUUUAUUCUAAAAAUCAAAUAAACGGUCGCGGGCCGUAAAGAAGCCCUUAAUUUCGUACACGUGAAAUAAAAUGCAAGACAUAAUUUUUCAAUGGCAGAGUAAUUACAUUCACAUUUUGUUAACCGUCUACUCAAGUAGUAAAUCGCCCUUUCUUCACCAAAUUGGUCUUCUUGCGUGACUAUUCCAACUAUUGAUUCUUGUUCAGUCGAUAUAUACACUUUCAUUGGCUGUCCUUAGAUUGAUGACACCAAUACUGGUGGACUUAAUAAAUAUGUCUUUAGGCUUUCAAAAGUUUUUUGAUGCUCUUCUUUCCAGACGAAUUCGUCCUGAUUUUUCAGCUUUAAAAGUAGCAAAAAAGCUUUAGUUCGUCCUGCACAGUCAGAAAUAAAGCGUCUUAAAAAAUUUACUUGGUCUAGGAACCUUUGCAAUUCUUUUUUAUUGCUAGGUGGUUUGGCCUCUAAAAUGGUCUUCGCUUUAUUUUUAUCAAGUUCAAUCCCCUUUUAUGUACUAAGAAAUCAAGGAAGUUUCCUGCAUUAACGCCAAAUGCACAUUUCAAGGGAUUCAAUUUUAGUUUAUAUUGUUUCAUUCGCUCAAAUGAACAUCUCACUUGUUCAAAAUGGUCCUCUUCUUUAAUGGAUUUGACCAUUAUAUCAUCUACAUACACCUCAACAAACUUGUCUAUCAUAUCAUGAAAAAUCAAGUUCAUUGCCCUUUGAUAAGUCGCUCCUACAUUUUUCAGGCCGAAAGGCAUAACUACCCAUUAAAAACAUACUAGAGAUCCAAGGCACCUAAAGGCAGUUUUGUGUAUAUCUUCAUCAGCUAUAUAAAUUUGAUUGUAUCCUGAAUACCCAUCCAUGAAAGAAUAUAUUACGUGUCCGGUAGUUGAGUCUACUAAAAAAUCUACCGUAGACAUUGGAUAUUCAUCUUUGAGUGUGGCUAUGUUUAGGUUCCUAUAGUCUAUGCACACCCUUAAUUUUUACCAUUCUUUUUUAGCACUGGCACAUUACUGGACAACCACUCUACAUAUCUGGCUGUUCUAAUAAAGCCUGCUUUUAAUAAUCGCUCUAUUUCUUUCUUAAUCUCAGGAAGUACAUUAGGAGCAAAACGCCUAGAAGGUUGCUUAUGAAGUUUAAAAUAUGGCUUGUUUGGCAAUCUAUGUUCCACCAAAUCUCUAUCUAAACCAGGCAUAUGUUCAUAUUUCCAAGUAAGACAAUCCUUAUAUUCCUUUAAUAAAGCGAUUAAUUUAUCACUAAUCUCUUGAUCGAGCAUCUGGCUGACGAAUAUUGUGCGAUCUUCCCCUUCAUUGCCAAUAUUCACUUUAAUCAGAGGGUCUUGUGCUUGAGCGUAUCCAGGCUUGGUGAUCCUCAUUACUUCAUCGUCCAUUUCUCUUAUAGGCACUUCUUCUUCUAAACAAUCCACCUUGUUGACUUCUCGGCCAAUACUUUGUUCUAACUCGAACACUGUCAAUUUGUCUCCCAAUGCUUUCAAGGCUGCUUCUUCUUUCGUCUUGUCUUUACACUCUGUAUUGAAAGCCAUUAAUUUGACUUUGAAGGCCUAAAUAUCGGCCAUUUACCUUUGUUGCUUACAACUCAUUUAAAACUUCUUGAUUACUUUUUUGCCAAUUACUGGCUCUUUCAGGGCCACUAUGUUUAGCCUCAUUUGACUGAACAUUUCAGUGAGUGCAUCUACCGAAAACGGCUCUUCGCUCUGUGCAACAAUUUGAGUUUCUUCUCCAUCUUGGACCACUCUGACAGGUCUGUAAUUUUCUUCGUACAUGAAACUUUCCACUGAGUUUGCUUCUGUGACAAAAGGUCUAUGAUCUGUCUGCACCACUUCUACUUCACCCUUGUCAUUCCAGAAAAUUAGGCAUUGAUAGAGCAAUGAAGGUAUGCAGCGACUUCCGUGUAUCCAAUCCCUUCCUAAUAACACAUUGUAAUUAGAAGGACCAUCUAUUACGAAGAAGACUGUGGUCCUAGUAGUUGUCCCUACAGUUAUGUCCAAUGGCAUAACCCCUUUAACUGAAGUUGCUCCUCCAUUGAAACUUGUAAGGAUGACUUCUAUUGGAAUCACAUCACUUUCUGUCUUUGCAAAUUUCCUCAUCAUCCUAGAUGGAAUGGUGUUUAUAGCUGCUCCAUUAUCGAUAAGUACUUUCGCCACAGGUAUACCAUUAACUAAAGCCUUAACGUACAAUGGUCUCAAGUGUUUAGUUAACUUCAUGGCUGGUCUCUUAAAAAUAACCUUUUCGACAGCAUUUAUUUCCACUUCCUGCUUGUUCUCUGUUGAAUUAUCCUUUUGUGAUAAGUCAACGUGCAGUAUGUCGCACUGAGCUUCCACUUCCUGAAUUACCUUUUUAUUGUUUUCUAAUGCUUCUUCUUCGGUUACCCAACCUGUGGGAGGAGGCAUUAUUGUUGGAGGUGAUCCAUACUUUUCAGAGCGAGGUACUCUCCUUUUUCUCUUGGGUAUCCCAUACAACACAUAAUAAUUGAAAGAACGUCCAGAUGGUUCUCCCAACAAAUCCACUUCACGAACACCUUUUCUAUGUAGUUGCUUCAACAGGGUAUUGUGCGAUACUCCUCUCUUUUUUCUUUCUGCUUCCAGAUUAAUUUCCUCUUCGAUAUCCGUCAUACCAUCAUCCUCUUCAUCAUUGUAUGCCCCUCUAGAAGUUUGACCUUCUUCACAUUCCAGCACACAUACUUCUUCUUCGUUAUCCUCCUUUUCUUCUUCUUCUUUCUUUUUGUUCUUGAACUCAUUGGCUAGUAAAUAGUUAUUAGCCAUGACGGGAGGUAACGUACCGAACUGAAUAGUAAGAGGCUAAUCUGGAUCUUCUUCAUCCCUUCUGUCUCGCCCAAACUUCGAUCUCCCAGAAGAACUCUAUGGCAAUUCUUCCAUCGAUUCACCUGUACCAGUCUCUUCACUAUCUUUGAGAACAUUUUGAUUGGCUACCUCAAGUAGUUUAGGCACCUUAGGACGUGGCACUCCCUGUUGUUGCCUCAUCAUUCGUCCAUAAUUCCGUUGAAAACGCCUUUGUUGGGUUCUAGUCAUCUCGUUGAAGGGUGUCAUCCUUUCUACAUUAUAUUGGAACGAAUGUCAUACAUUUGGUUGGCGAGGUUGCGGCCUGAAUGUUCUCCCAUUAUUUAUUGACCUGAACUACCUUUCAAAAGGUAGUCCCCUAUAGAAUGAUGUACCUCGCCCUCUAACAGGCUGAGAAUUUGGGAAAAAACUAAGGCGAUGGUGGUGCUGCCAUAUCCUUGAUUUCUCCGUAUUUGCACUUACUUCUCUUUUACAUCUUGCACAAAGGACGUCUUCAUCCUUUUUAGGCUCCUUCCCUUUGAUACGUUCAAAGACAAUGGGGUGUGGCCCAGGGUCCUCUUCUCCGUCAUCUAUAACCAACUUGAAUUUUCGCAAUUUAUUUUUGAACCCAGUCGUCACCAUGUUCACCCCAAGUGGCUGUGGAAAAGGGUUUUCAUUCACUAUCAUCUUCUUCUUAUCCUCGAAUGUAAUUCGUCCUGAUUCAAUGGUGUCCUGUAACACAUGGCGAAAAACCAAACAGUUGUUAGUCAAAUGCGACCAUGCAUUACGCCACUUAAAAUAUUUUUUACCCUUGAUUUGUUCAGGGCUUGACAACUUAUGUUUAUCGCUCAACUUCAUCUGCUUAUCCUUAUAUAGUUUAUCAAAUAUAAGGUCAGCUUUGGUUACAUCGAACGAGAACAUUCUAGCCUUUUUGUUUUUAUCUUUCAUAGGCUUAUCCUUGCCGGACGAUCUAGACUUAGCCAUUAUAGGACAAGUAUACGCGUCUCCUUUGAUUAAUUCGGUCAAACACUUUUCGAUUUGAUCGUAAUACUCCUCGUUAAUGGUAUGAACAUCAAAAUUUGGGUCUCUAUAAUAAGUCUCCUUGUUAGAAUUUUUCAUUUACUCUUCUUCUCUUAUUAAUCGUUCAUACCUAAUCACGUUUGCGCUCAAUUGAAAAAGAUCAGGAAAAUCCCUGUCUUGGAAUUUCUUUUUCAAAUCAAAGCUUAGACAACUUUGAGCAAUUUUGACAAACUCCUUUUCGGGCAAAGGUACAAAAUAUUUACUUCUUGCUGUCUUGAACCCUUGAAGGGAACCUUCUGCCCAUUCGUUUGGCAUUUGACGUAGAUUCGCCAAAUCGGCCAAAGUAACUUCAGACUCAGUCUUAUAAAACUGAGCAUAGAACAAUUGCUCCAAUUGUUGCCAUGUUUGAACAGAGUUCGCUGGCAAAUUGAUGAACCAAGAGAAAGCUACUCCUGUUAAUGAACUAGGGAACAACCUCAUUUUAUGGUAAUCGGUUACUUCACCACUUUGCAGUGUGAAUCGCCCUAUGUGUUCUAGAGUAGGCACCUCUCCUAAAUAAGUAAAAAAUGAGAAUUCUGGCACUUUAUACUAUCUAGGCCAUGUAUAUGCUUGGUAUACCCAAUCAGGAUAUGGCUUUGUGUAAGUCGGCCUAAUGACAGGACGUACCUCAAAAGCCAUUUGAUCCUGUACUAUUUCCAUAAUUUGAUUUCUCAACAUGACGUUGAGGUCAUAUGGAAUUCCUACAUGUUGGUUGAUUGGUUGAUUUGCCUGAGGCCUGAUAUUUGGUCCUUGGUUGGCAACAAAGUUGCCAUGAUUUGGGUCAUUGUUACCAUUAGCAUGAAUAUUAAUUCCAUCAUUGACACGUGGGGUAUUCUGUCCAUUAUUUAGGACAUUGUCUCUUAUAUUUAGGUUACCCCCAAGUUAGAUGUAUCAUUACCACUAUUCUGAUUUGGCAUUAUACCAUCCCCUGAUUUGAAGUAGGUGGACCAAAAGGUGGUUCUAUCCUCUGAUUUGGACUUAGGACUGGGGAAUUAUAUCCCACGAUUGUCCUAGUUUGAAAGUGAUUUUUGCAAUAGGCACAACUGGUUGACAAAUUUGGUCUACUAACUUAUUCAUUAUUUCAUUUAAUGUAUUCGGUUGUUUGACCAUAUUGUCAUAAUGUGCAUUUCCAUUCUGGGUUAAUCUUUCCAUAUUAUGAACAUUUCAUAGAUUUACCUGUUCAACGACAUCCUGUGUGAGUUCUCCAAGCAAUGCACUCAUGGUUCGAGGACUCAACUUUGUCAUUGGUUCAUAACGAUUGUGACUGCUCUGACUUUGUCCCUCUAUUCGUGGAGAGCUUUGCUGCUCCUCAUAUCGCUCGAUCACAGACUGGACUCCUCCCUAACUUGCUGCUUCCUUAUCAGAUUUAUGAGGCAUAUUGUUUCACCUUUUGUAUCUUUAACACCAAACACCAAUGUCCCACUGGGCGUGCCAAAUUGUUUCGCGCAUAUAGUCGCUAACAAUUAAAAAAGAUAUCAGAUGAUUGUGUAAGGAAAAGACCUCUUGAGACGAAAUCCCAAAAAUGGGUGUUUUAUUGGCGAUGAUUUACAAUUGAAAAUAAACAGAAUGCCUCUGAGGGGCACAAGUACACGACUAAAAGAAGUAUUUAAAUAUAAAUUAAGAAAUUAAAAUUACAUAUUCUCUAUUUGAGAGUGUUUGAUUCGGGAUCAUUUUUUCUAUGUUUUCUCUUCCUUUUAUAUUCCCUUGAUGAUUUUUUCGUGACAAAUCGCUUGAAAACUGCUUGAUUGCUGUAUAACUACCCACUUUCUUUAUGGUGGCUACUGCCGUCUCUAACUGUUGCCAUUACUCUUUGUCGUUCAACCGCCUUCAACUGAGCUCCUUGAAUCGUUGAAUGUGAUAAGUUCACUCAAUAACUGCUUCAAUAACUGUUAUUCUGGAUAACCAUAAUGUUUUAUGCUUGCUAAGAUCCUGGACGAUUCAAAGGUUUGGGCGAGAACGGGGUCAUCGCUCUGAGCGACCGUAAGGUACUCUAUUCGCUUAGAUUCUGGACAUCUUGCAAGCUUAGACGAUGAUGUUACCGUGUUUGUGGACUUCCACCGCAUUCAUCAAUAAUCCUGUUUGGACAUUUAUCCUGGAUUCCCCAAUUGGACUUCACUCUUUGGGCUAUUUGAUUUGAGCUGCACUUUUAAUGUGUCAACAGAUGGACACCAUGAUCAUUGGAACAUGCUAGUGGAGAACUUUUUAAGAUCUAAGGAGUACUGCCAUGUUGUUGAAUAUGGUGUAGCAGCACUUGCUGCUAAAGUGGCACUCAUAGAAGCUCAAAAAACGUAGUUGGCGGGAUCGAAGUUGGAAGACAGCUAAUAGAAUAUUUAAUUGUAAAAAGAAGUAUGUGCGAGAAUUUAAGGGAGGAAUUCUCAGAAACUUAUUGUUAUUGUUAUUUCUUCAUAUUUUAUAAAUGCACAUUACUUCUUAGUGGCCUAGUCUCUGGGGAAAUUUAUUUAUUUUUAUUUAUUUAUUUAUUUAUUUUUGACUUAGCACUAGUUGAAUAAGACAUAAUCAUUGAACUUGUGGCUGAACUUUUAGUCAUUGGUGAUAAGAUGUUUCAUCAGGAUUUUAUGCAUGAUUCUGUUAUACAAACGACUUUAAAGCCCCUCAGUUGAAUUGAAAGCUCCAUUUCUCUCUUAUUUUCCAUUUUCUAUGUGAGCGGUACAGAGACGAAAUAUUUUAAGAAACAAUCAUGCUUGAUGUACAUCAUUGUUAAUACUUUGUCUCAUGUUAUUAUUCAAUUGGACUGUUCAAAAAAAAUAAUUUUCCACCCAAUUAUUUGUUGAUAGUAUAAAUAAAUCAACGAAUGGCUGGUAUAUAAUCUUUUGAGAAAUGGGCAAUUUUGUUGAGUGUUUGGAAAAAGGGUGUGCAAUUUAUUGGACAAUGAUUGAAACCACACGUGGGAGACAAGACAACAUAGUGAACAUUUUACGGUAUCUUGUUCUCCAUGUUUAAAGACAUUACUUACAAUUUAGAGAGUAUCCAAUAAAGCAAAAAAAUUUAAAUCCUUCAACAUCUUCUUUAUUUUUAACAUUUAGCCCGUGUUUGACUCUCUAUAAAAUAAAAUAAUUUAUUUUCUAUACUCAUUUUAAACCACAUAUUCAUUCAAUAAGAUAUUUUGUUCGUAAACUCAAUUUUUUUUUCCAAUUUUUAUUCACAUAUUCUUUAAAAAAAUCACCAUUCAAGAUCUCAUUUUUUUUACACAAUAAGAACCAUCAAAUGAUGAUAAUUUUACUACUCAUACAUGUAAUCAUUAUUUUUUUCAUUUUUUUUCAUUUUCACUAACUUACCUCCGAAUUAUUAUCUAUUUCCCUCAUUUUCAUUGUAAAUACUCUAUUCGUGUCAUAAAGAUAGAUUUAAUUUCCUUUGUUAUCUGUCCCAAAUUAUACAUCAAUUUCUGACAAUUUAGUUGAUUUCUUAAUUUUCUAAUAUGUUCUUAUUUAAUGUGUAUUGCUAUCAACAAAUAUGAAUUAUUCACAUUUUGAUUAUUAUUUAAUAUAGGGUAUAUUAGAAAACAAGUAAGAAAAAAUUAUAUUUCUAAUUAUAUUAAUUACAUUUUCUUAAUCCGUAAAAUGGAAGCAAAUUUAUUUUUAUGGAUUGGAUGGAAUACUAUUUAGUGGGGUUCAAUAAAUAGAGCAUUGGAAAUUGAAAUAUCUUGAAUGUAACGAUCCGACCUCUAUGCUAAAGUCGUUAACUUAGAUAAUAUCCACUAUGGAAGAAUUUAAAUCCAUCUUACGUUUCACGGGUAUCCAUCGCGUCCCUAAGAUUGGAACUCAGGGGACGCGAUAGAAAUUUGUGAAGGAUAAGAUGGUUUAGAUUCUUCCAUGAUGAAUAAUAUGUAAGUUAACAACUUGAACAAAGAGGUUGAAUCGUUAGAUUGAAUGUAUUUAUUUAUAAAGAGGGGUUGGCUUUUCAAUUUUGGGGAGGUAAAUGCACUAACCAUUUUAAAAUAUUAAUUUGAAGAGUCUUUGAAAUUUUAACAAUUGAUAUUUUAAAAUAAAGACAAAAUAGAAAGAUCCCUUUUAUAAAAUCUCUUCAAAAUGCGCUUAUAGUUCAUGUCUGUGUUCUUGCAAAUGAGUCCAAAAUCAGCGAUUGCAGAAUCCCAAUGCAAAUGAAUUAAAUAUUUUUUUCUUUGAUAAUCUCAACUGUGGACAUUUGUCCAGGAUUAUUGAAUUUAUAUACUUGAUAUGAACUAAGAUUUCGUUUUUAACUCAAAUUUUAUUGUACAUUAUUCACUUUUAAUCAUAUUUCUUGCAACUCACCAACUCUCAUCAACAUAAAUAACUCUUCAAGGGCAAAACAAAAAAUCAUAUAUAUAGCUUAAUACAGCCAAAUAGCAACAUUUUAACAUAAUUAGAAAUUCUUUGUGCUCCAAGGAACAAUAAAAGUGAAGCAUUAUGAGAUUUUAAUGAUCCAACAUACAGGAAAUUAUCUUGUAGCAGCCCUACACGAUCCUAUGAUUUUCAAGAAACUUAAUAAAAUUAUCUAUAUAACGAUGGUGUAAAUUUUUAUCUCCAAAUAUUGGACUCAUUUCUUUGGCUCGAAAUUUCUUUCCCUCAUUUUCCAUCAUUACCAACUUUAUCGAAUUGGACACCGAGUUCCUCGUAUAUGAUCCAAAUCCAACCUGUAUAUCGGCAAUUAUUCUAGCAUUCAAACCUUGAUCUACCAGAAAAGGCAAGGCAAUUAAGGGGAGACCAUAAAUGAGUCCCUCUAAAAAAGAACACCAGCCACAGUGAGUCAAGAAUGCACCCACCGAGUCAUGGCUUAGUAUCUUCAACUGAGGUCCCCAACUCUUCCACACCACACCUCUGCCCUUAACUCUCUCUUCGAACCCGUCUGGUAAAACCACCGAGUAGGAAUCGUCUGACCCAGAUGUUCCUCAGUGCCCAAAAGAAGGGAACAUCAGAUAACUCCAAUCCAAGAGCCAACUCGUUGAUUUGAUCUUGACUCGACGUCACCUCGGUCCCUAAUGCUACGUAAACAACUGACUGUUUAUUUUGAUCAUCAAGCCAAGUUUUGAUUGAAACCCAUGAUUCGCUGUGAUCUUCUUCCACUUGUGGUGGCAUUAAACUUACUGGAAUCACUGGCUUAUGGUAAAGCUCUUCAAGUAAUUUCAACUAAUCCGGUUCAAACUCAUUGCAGUGUCUUAUGAAAACAGCUUCGGACCCCUCAAUUACUUUGCCAGUUCGAUAAAGAUCUGUAACUCCUGAUUCAUUCUUCUGAGUUGCUCCGACGAUCCAGUUUGCUUCGUACCGUCUAUAAGCUGCUUUUGUCUCAAACUUGAUCCACUUUGGUGGGAUCGUAAAAUCUUCUGCUCUUUUCCUCUCAUCAGAACCGUAAAUCAUGGUAUCUGGUGGUCCAAGGAAAGCUAAAAACCAAGCGUUUACGACGAAGGACAUAGCACGAGAAAUUCCUGUUAGAAUUGAAUAAAAAAUAUUGAAUAGAAGUAAUGAAAAAUAUUGAAUAGAAGCCUCUUCAUAUGUUGUAACUCAAGUAACUCAAGUUUUUUCAUGUUUUUAACUCAUUUAUUAAUGAAUAGUUUAACUCAUUGAUUAAUGAGCUAACUUUUCCUCCAUUGGUAUAAAUAGGAGUCUCUCUAGGUUGGAAAAUCACAAGUGAAAUGCAAGCUUCUUCCUCUAAGCAACAAUCUUCUUUUUCUCACUUUCAAGUUCUUCCUUAUGCUUAUAAUUUCUUUGUGAGAUAAAAUAUAUCACAGUUAAUUCGCAGGAGUUAACGUAGUGCAGCGUGAACUGAUAACUGAUUGUAUCCUGGGAAUCGAACACCGAUCAAAACAUCUUGCACUCCGUUGAGGCGGGGAAUUCAAUUUAAGGAAACUGUGAAUACACAGACUUUCGGUUUGAUUUGAUUCUCUAAUAUUUACCUACAAGCUUAAAUCGAAUUGACUUUAAUAAAUCAAAUUUUGUUCAUUAGUUUUUGUCAAUUUUCCCAAUUCAUGAUUUUUGCAUGAUUUCUAAUUCAUUUUAAAUGAUUGUUAAGUUGUUAAUAAUUUGGCAAAAUAAUCUGUUUUUCAAUUCUGCAGUUUUAUUUUCUGAACAGAUAACUUGAACUCGAAUUUAUAUAUUGUUGACAUGCUAAAAGUGUAGCCCAAUUCAAAUAGCCUAAAGAAUGAAGCCCAACUGGGCAAUUCAGGAUAAAGGCCCAAAUAGGGUUAUUAAUUAAUGCAGUGAAAGCCCACGAACGCGGUAACACCAUCGCCCAAACUUACAAGACGCCCAGGAUCUGAGCGAAUGAAGUGCCUUGCAAUCGCCCAGAGUUAUAACCCCAUUCUCGCCCAAACCUUCGAAUCGCCUAGGAUCUUAGCAAAGAUAAGGUGUUAUUGUUAUCCAAAAGUACAGUUAUCGAAGCAGUUAUUGGGUAAUCUUAUCAUGUUCCACGAUUCACGAAGUUCAGUUGAAGACGGUUGAUCGAUAAAGAGUAGUGGUAGCAUUUAGAGAUGACAGUUCCACGAUAAGUUGGCCACCAUGAAGAAAGUGGACAGUUAUAAAGCUAUUAAGCAAUUUCUAAGCAGUUGAUCACAAAAAGAGCAUCAAGGGAAUAUAAAAGGAAGAAAAGACAUAGAACAAAAAGCCCGAAUCAAACACUCUCAAACAAAGAAUAUGUAAUUUCAAUUUCUUAUUUUAGACUUAAACAUUUUAUUUAAGUACUCGUGUGUUUGCGCCUCUUGGAGGCAUUCUGUUUAAGUUCCAAUUGUAAAGUCAGGGAGGAGUCCAGUCUGUGAAACAAUUUGGCAGCCAGGUGGGACCUUGGUGUUUGGUGUUGAAGAUACAAAAGGUGAAAUAAUAUGCCUCAAAAAUCCGAUAAGGAAGCAACAAGUCAGAGAGGAGUCCAGUCUGUGAUCGAGCGAUAUGAGGAGCAGCAUAGCUCUCCAUGAACAGAUGGACAGAAUCAGAGCAAUCGCAGUCGUUACGAACCAAUGACAGAGUUGAGUCCUCGAAUAAUGUGUGCAUUACUCGGAGAACUCACACAAAAUGUCGUUGAACAGGUAAAUCUAUGAAAUAUUCAUAAUAUGGAAAGAUUUACCAAGAAUAGGAAUGCACAUUAUGACAACAUGGUCAAACAACUGAAUACUUUGAACGAAAUAAUGAAUAAGUUAGUAGGCCAAAUUUGUCAGCCAGUUGUGCCUCUUGCAAACCGCUUUCAAACUAGGACAAUUGUGGGAUAUAAUCCCCCGGUCCUAAGUUUAAAUCAAGGGGUAGAACCACCUUUUGACCCCUCUACUUCAAACCAAGGGGGUGGUGUAAUACCAAAUCAGAAUAGUGGCAAUGGUACAUCUAACUUGGGGGUAACCUAAAUGUAAGAGAUAAUGUCCUAAAUAAUGAGCAGAACACCCCACGUGUUAAUGAUGGAAUAAAUGUUCAGGCUAAUGGUAACAAUGACCCAAAUCAUGAUAACUUUGUUGCCAAUCAAGGACCAAACAUCAGGCCUCAAGCAAAUCAACCGGUCAACUAAUCUGUAGGAAUUCCAUAUGACCCCAACGUCAUGUUGAGGAAUCAGAUUAUGAAAAUCGUACAGGACCAGAUGGCUUUUGGAGUACGUCCUGUCAUUAGGCCGACUUACACAAAGUCAUAUCCUGAUUGGGUAGACCAAGCAUAUCCAUGGCCUAGAGGGUAUAAAGUGUCAGAAUUCGCACUGUUCUACUCUAGAACACAUAGGGCGAUUCACACUGCAAAGUGGUGACAUAACUGAUUAUCAUAAAAUGAGGUCGUUCCCUAGUUCGUUAACAGGAGUAGUCUUCUCCUGGUUCAUCAAUUUGCUAGCAAACUCUAUUCAAACAUGGAAACAAUUGGAGCAAUUGUUCCACGCUCAGUUUUAUACGACUGAGUCUGAAGUUACUUUGACCGAUUUGGCGAAUCUACGUCCAAUGCCAAACGAAUGGAUAGAAAGUUUUCUUCAAAGGUUCAAGACAGCAAGAAGUAAAUGUUUUGUACCUUUACCCGAAAAGGAGUUUGUCAAAAUCGCUCAAAGUUGUCUAAGCUUUGAUCUGAAGAAGAAGUUCCAAGAUAAGGAAUUUCCUGAUUUUUUCCAAUUGAGCGCGAACGUGAUUAGGUAUGAACGAUUAAUAAGAAAAGAAGAACAAAUGAAAAAUUCUAGCAAGGGGACUUAUUUUAGAGACCCAAAUUUUGAUGUUCAUACCAUUAAUGACGAGUAUUAUGAUCAAACCGAAAUGUGUUUGGCCGAAUUAGUUAAAGGAGACACAUAUACUUGUCCUAUAAUGGCUAAGCCUAGGUCGUCGGGCAAAGAUGAGCCUAUAAAAGAUGAAAACAUAAAAGUUAGAACGUUCUCGUUCGAUGUAACCAAAAUUGACCUUAUAUUUGAUAAAUUAUAUAAGGAUAAACAGAGUCCUUGCUUGAAGCUCCUUCGUCUGUGCAGCCAAACUGGUCAUCAAAGAGUCUUCAAUCAUGACUUCAGAAGAGAUUUCUUUCAGUUCGUCCUCAGCUUUGUUGAUCUCCAUGACCAAAGACUCUCUUUCAGAUACAGCGCGAAAAUAUUGAGUACUUUUGGCCUUCAGUUCGACAUUUUUGGCCAGCAAGGAGAGAAUCUCGGAAUGGACAAUUUUCAAUGUCGCUUUAAAAUCAGCAGAAAGAUUGAGCGACGGAAGUGUCAGUGCUUGCGCCAGCUUUGCACUCAAAUGCUUAAGCUUAUCCUUAUGUUUGGCAGCACUAGCCUGACCGAUGUCCAUAUCCAUAAAUGACACAUACUCAAAUAUCGACUGCUUGAGGAAAUUCAUAUUUUCCUCUGAAGAAGCAGAAGAACGACUGGUUGAAGCAGGCGAGACAUCUUAACUUGCCCCCAGGAAGUGAACAAGUCCUGGAUGGAACGUACAAUCCUAUCAGUAUCCUGCAAAGAAAGUCGCCAACAUCGAAGGUUUUCACUACAAUGAACAAAGUGGAAGUAAAAGUGAAGCAAAGAUUACCUCAUCAGCAAUCUUGGGAGGUGGCGUAUCCCCAGCCAAAUCUACCACCUGUGGCUCCACCACUUGAGAGGACCUCCCCUUGUCUGAGCGAGAAGACUUUGCCACAACGGGCAAACCCAUGGGAACAUCUACAGAACUCAAAAAGCAACAAGUCAAAAACCAAUAGUACAAGCAAAGGUAAAACAUCUAAAAAUGUAUUACCUUCUAGUUCGACGUUUGGGGGUUGACACCCUGGGAAGAAGGUGGCUCAUCCAUUGGUUGUGAUGAUGAUUUCGGGAUUGAAGGUUUCUCUUUAAGCGUAGUCCCUUCAUCAGUUGGUUUGGAUGAAGCAGGCUCGGCAGAGGGUGAUGGAGCAGGAGCUGCCAACACCAAAGCCUUCGAAGGAGAGGCUGAGCUUUUAUGAGAAAUCCGAAUAAACCAUUAGCACAUAGCAAAGUUUCAAGUAUAGAAAGGUAUGUUUGUGAGUAAACUAAUUUAACUACAUUUCUACUGACAAUGAGAGGAGUGUCAUCAUCAUCAUCCUCCAAAAUGGGAGAUGCUGAGGCUGACCGUUUGCGGCUUGGGGCACUUUUAGAUGCAGUAGGUUAGGCAGGAAGAGAAGUUAAUGGACGAAUAAACUGUUUAGCACGAGCAGAAGAGGAAAGACUCUUAAUGGACACAGGGGUGACCAAAACAGGGGAAGUAGAAGAAAUGUCCAACUGAUCCAGUGAAUGGAAAACGCGAUUGGCAUCAGUUGCAAACAAUCUGCGCUGCACUGAUGGCCAGAGUUGUUCAAAAAGGGGAUGCAUGGCAUGGCUAGGAUUGAAGGGAGCUAAUAAAAAGUUACUCGUCAAAAGAAUAUUGCGAGCAUCUAUAGCUUCUGCCUCUGUCUUAUUAAUGGUGUGGAAGCGAUCUAUCAAAUUUCUUAAAUAACAAGGGGGAACAGGCCAAGUUUGGCCAAAACCAAGUUGAUGAGCAAAAAAUUGGGGAGCAUAUAUCUCAACCCCAGCUUUGGCAUUGGUUCCAGUCAAAAUAUCAUGGAACAACUCCCUCCCGAUCAAAAACGAAACCCAAACGAGUAGAGAGGUGCUCACGCUGUCCAGAGUAGAUAGGGGUUGCACAUAAUCUAGAGUUAAAAAGGGAGGAAAAAGAAAGAAAGAAGGAAUUGAAUUCAAAGUAUAAAAGAAUGAAAAUAUGUUCCUUCUAGACAUAUUUACAGGGCUCAGUGGACCAAUAGCUAACCCAUAGCAGCUAGCAGAAGGAAGAGAAAAGGAUAGAGCACCAAGUGAUGAAAAAUAGGCUCUCAACCACAUUAGAGUGAACCAAAGAGGCCCAAUGCCAGUAGGAGAUGCACCAUUCUUCAAUUAGAAUUGGAAAGAAGCCAUGCCUCUAUAGAGGGCAGCCAAAAAGAAAGAAUACAAAUUCUGCGCUAUGGGUAAAUAGCUCAUGGAAGGCUUCAUGCUUGGCACACACAGAACAUAUUUAUAAAGCCAAAUCUGAAUAAAGGCCACACGGUCAGCAUGGGAAGGCUCAGCGCUCGAGUGAUUAUAACAGCUUUGCAGACUUGAAUAGGACUCGGUGAGUUUGCUGUCAAAUUUUGGAGCGACACCAGAAAUCAAAAUACCAGGGAAAAUGGUAUCGCCCAAAGGUGGCAAGCUUAUUGAGGCCCCAACAUCCCUUAAAGUAAUGGAUAUGGGACCAAGAGGAAAACAAAAGUAUUAUACUUAGAGGACCAAAAACUUAAAGUAAUAGGAAAAAGUGCUGAAUCAAAAAUAGGGGGUUGAAGAGAGAUUUCUAACAAAUCAGAAAUCCAGGCACUAUCAAAAAUUGUCUUGGUAGGACCAUGAUCGACAAGGUGAGCAUCCCAUCUACAGAAAACGACAUCAGAUUUAGGCCAAGUGCGAAUACCUCUUUCGCGAAGCGGCCUCAGCGGCAAAGAGUUUAGAAAUAGAGGGCCUUGAGUACAAGGGAACAGCUGGCCCACCGCCACUUGUUCGACGGCCUCGACGUUGUUGAAUGAAGGACCUAGAAAAAACUCAUUGAGUUCGGCAUUGGCUGGUGUAAGGAAGUUCGGAGUUAUAUAUGGCCGAGUGAGGAUUUUCUGGAAGUCUUCAAAACUGAAAGAGUCACCAGAUUGGGAUUGUGAAGCAGCCAUUAGGAACGAAAUAAAGUUUUGUUAAAGUUUGCUUGAGAAACAUAGCAGAGAAGCAAGAAGAUGAACAAUAAUAUUGUGAGAGAGAAGCACAGAACAAUGAGGCGUGAUUUAGUAGUGCGAUAAAAUGGCGUGUAUUUGGGGGUUAUAAAGGUUUGCAACGUCCCACCUUUUUAGGCUAUGGAAGAAAAUAAUGAUUGAAAUUCUUGGGAAUUUCAAAUGUUAUUGGGAAACACAAAGUGAAUAUGGCAAAAAUUAAUAAUUGGUAUUAAUUCUGCCAUAUUGGGGAUAAUUGUUGACAUUCUAAAAGUGUAGCCCAAUUUGAAUAGCCCAAAGAAUGAAGCCCAACUGGGCAAUUCAGGAUAAAUACCCAAAUAUGGUUAUUAAUGAAUGCAGUGAAAGUCCACGAACGCGGUAACACCAUCGCCCAAACUUACAAGACGCCCAGGAUCUGAGCGAAUGAAGUGCCUUGUAAUCGCCCAGAGUUAUAACCCCGUUCUCGCCCAAACCUUCGAAUUGCCCAGAAUCUUAGCAAACAUAAGGUGUUAUGGUUAUCCAAAAGUACAGUUAUUGAAGCAGUUAUUGGGUAAUCUUAUCAAGUUCCACGAUUCAAGAAGUUCAAUUGAAGACAGUUGAACGACAAAGAGUAGUGGCCGUAUUUAGAGACGGCAGUUCCACGAUAAGUUGGUCACUAUGAAGAAAGUUGGCAAUUAUAAAACAAUUAAGCUGUUUCUAAGCGGUUGAUCACAAAGAGAGCAUCAAGGGAAUAUAAAAGGAAGAAAAGACAUAGAGCAAAAAGCCCGAAUCAAACACUCUCAAAUAGAGAAUAUGUAAUUUCAAUUUCUUAGUUUAGACUUAAACAUUUAAUUUCAGUACUCGUGUACUUGCGCCCAUUGGAGACAUUCUGUUUAAGUUCCAAUUGUAAAGUCAUUGCCAAUAAAACACCCCUUUUUAGGACUUUGUCUCAAGAAGUUUGUCCUUUACACAAUCGUCUGAUCCCUUUUUAAUUAUUAGUGACUACCCGCGCGAAACAUAUAUAACUUUACAAACUUAUAAUUAUUCUAAAUUAUUUGUUACUUGUUCCGAUUCAAUGGCAUCACAUGGAAAUAACGAUGUGAACAACGGAAGCAACAUUGUUGGUAUCCAUGUACCAAAUCCUGCAAUGACCGUUGUUAACCCUAUGGAGACCACGACUGACAUUUCUCCCAUUAACGGGAUAAUUGGAGGUGGGAUUCCUCAUGUUGAAGUGAACCCAAGUUUGCCUUCGGCCGCGGCCUCGACAAUCUAGUUUGGCACAGUACCUUUGCCAGUACCUAGGGCGACACCUUUGCCAUCGUUUCUAGCUCCAUUUUCGGUGAAUCAUGCAAUUCAACCGAAUAAGUUUGCUGGUACUGAUUUUAAGAUAUGACAGAAUAAGAUGGUUUUCUAUCUCACUACGUUGGGUCUUGCAUGUUUUCUUACUGAGGAUGCCCCUAUCGUGGCUGAAAACGACACUGAGUGCAUAAGCGUGCAGCUUGGAACGCUUGGAAAAGUGCUGAUUUUUUGUGCCGCAACUAUGUCUUGGAUGGCCUACAGAAUUCUCUGUAUCACUAUAUGUAGUAAAGAAGUCUGCUAAGGAGCUCUGGGAGUCCUUAGAAAAGAAAUACAAGCCCGAGGAUGCCGGAUCUAAGAAAUUCUUAGCCAGUCGGUGUAUGAAUUUCGAAAUGGUUGAUUCACGUUCAGUGGUGAGCCAAGUACAGGAGAUCAAGUGCUUUUGCAAGAAAUGCAUGCUGAGGGUCUGACCAUGUCAGAAUCUCUACCGGUGGCUACUGCUAUUCACAAGCUACCUCCUCAGUGGAAGGCUUUUAAAAGCUAUUUGCAGCAUAAGAGGAAAGAGAUGUCUUUCGAGGAUUUAAUUAUCAAGCUGCGCAUUGAGGAGGAUAACAAACGGGCUGAACGUAAGUCAGAGAAUUCUUACUCUGAGAAGGCUAAUGUAUUGGAGUACGGCCAAAGUUCUGGUACUAAGAAAGUUCACUCCUUUAAAGCCAAACAGGGUAACAGAAAUCGAAAAGAUAAAAAAAAGGCUACGAAAGGGUCUUAGUUGAAGCCUGCAUGUGGGGUAGGAAAGAAACCUAAGUUCCAGCUCAAUGGAAACUGCUUCAAUUGUCACAAAGUUGGGCAUCGAUCAGUAGACUGUCGUCGGCCUCGGAGGGAUAAUAAGCAGCGUUCUCAUGCUAAUAUGGUUGGAAAUGAGAGAGACCAUCUCUCAAAUGAAAUUUUUGAGCUAAACCUCACGGUGGUGAUUAGUGAGGUUAACCUGGUGGGGUCUAACCCAAAGGAGUGGUGGCUGGACACUAGGGUCACUUGCCAUGUCUACUCCAACAGGAGCAUAUUCACUACUUUUGCACCAGUUACAAAUGAUGAAAAAUUGUUCAUGGGAAACUCUGCAACUUCUGAAGUGCUUGGUAAAGGCAAGGUAAUCCUGAAGACGACAUCUGGCAAAGAGCCUGUUUAAAUUGAAUGUAAUUGCUGUAACCCUAACUGUUAUGAGUAAUGAGAAAACUCCUUCUGUUUACUUGCUUGAGUCUCCUAAUAUGUGGCAUGGUAGAUUAGGUCACGUAAAUUACAAUACUUUACGUAGACUAAGCAAACUAAAUUACUUGCCUAGGUUUCAAAUUGAUUCAAAUCAUAAAUGUGAAACAUGUGUGGAAUCUAAGCUUACUAGGUCUUCAUUUCAUUGUAUUGAAAGAAGUAUCGAGCCAUUGGGACUGGUCCAUAGUGAUGUAUGUGACUUGAAAUCUGUCCAAACAUGAGACGGUAAUAAGUAUUUUAUUACUUUUGUCGACGAUAGCACGAAAUAUUGUUAUGUGUACUUGCUUAAAAGCAAAGACGAAGCUAUCGAUAAAUUCAUUCUUUAUAAGAAUGAAGUUGAAAAUCAACUUAGUAAGAAAAUAAAGGUGCUACGUAGUGAUCGUAGUGGUGAAUAUGAAUUACCAUUUGGUGAGUUUUGUGCUAAACAUGGAAUAAUUUACCAAACUACUGCACCUUAUUCACCUCAGCAGAACGAAAUUGCUGAGCGUAAGAAUAUAACUUUAAAAGAAAUGAUGAAUGUUAUGUUGAUUAGUUCUGGAUUACCACAGAACAUGUGGAGAGAAGCUAUUCUUUCCGCAAAUUACAUCUUGAAUAAAGUGUUGAAAAAGAAUAUGGAUAAGACUCCGCAUGAACUUUGGACAAAUCGGACACCUUCAUAUAAAUACUUACGAAUGUGGGGGUGUCUUGCUAAAGUUGUGGUGCCUCUUCCUAAGAAGGUCAAGAUUGGACCUAAGACAGUGGAAUGUGUAUUCAUUGGUUAUGCACAAAAUAGUAGUGCAUAUAGGUUCCUUGUACAUUAUUCGAAUGUACCUGAUAUUCAUUCGAACACGAUUAUGGAGUCUAGGAAUGCUCAAUUCUUUGAGAAUAUAUUUUCUUGUAAGUCUUCUAAACAGUUAGCUCCUAUUAAACAGACAAUGGAAUCUUCUGCUUCUGGCAGUAGUAAAGAUCCAGUUGAAAAAAGGUGAGGAUGAGCCUAAACGGAGCAAAAUGACCAAAACUUCUAAGACGUUUGGCCCUGAUUUUCUCACAUAUUUGAUGGAGAAUGAUCCUCGAAGCUAUAAAGAAGCUAUAUCUUCUCCAGAUGGUCAUUUGUGGAAAGAAGCCAUCAAAAGUGAAAUCGAUUCCAUUCUACAGAAUCAUACCUGGGAGUUAGUAGAUCUUCCACCGGGCUGUAAGCCUUUGGGCUACAAGUGGAUCUUCAAGAAGAAGAUGAAAGCGGACGACUCCAUUGAUAAAUAUAAAUCUCAGCUAGUAAUCAAAGGUUAUAAGCAAAAUGAAGGCUUAGAUUACUUUGAUACUUAUUCUCAUGUGUCAAGAAUAACUUCUAUUCGGAUGAUAAUUGCUAUUGCGGCCUUGCUAAAUCUGGAAAUACAUCAGAUGGAUGUAAAAACAGCUUUUCUAAAUGGAGAUUUGAAUGAAGAAAUCUACAUGGAGCAACCAGAGGGGUUUACAGCUCUAGGUCAAGAAAGGAAAGUUUGUAGACUGGUUAAAUCGCUAUAUGGUUUGAAGCAAGCACCGAAGCAAUGUCAUGAGAAAUUUGAUAAUGCUAUGCUUUCUAGUGGUUUUAGAAUCAACGAGUGUGACAAAUAUGUAUAUGUCAAGGACACUAAUGAUGAAUAUGUUAUAUUAGGUCUAUACGUCGACGACAUGCUCAUUGUCGGUAGCUCUGACAAGAUUAUCAAAGCCACUAAGAAUAUGUUAAACUCAAAGUUUGACAUGAAAGAUAUGGGUCUCAUGGAUGUCAUUUUGGGAGUAAAAAUUACUUGAACACCAAAUGGACUUGUGUUAUCUCCAUCUCAUUACAUUGAUAAGAUACUAGACAAGUUCAACAAGUCAGACACCACUGUGACCAAGACUUCAGUGGAUUUGAGUCUCCAUUUAUCCAAGAACACUGAUGAUGGUGUAUCACAGUUAGAAUAUUCUCGGAUAAUUGGGAGUUUAAUGUAUUUAAUGACUUGUAUGAGACCGGAUAUAGCAUACUCAGUUAGCAGAUUGAGUCGCUAUACGAGUAACCCAAGUGCUGUCCACUGAAAAGCCAUUUUUAGGGUGCUCCAUUAUUUAAGGCACACUCGUGAUUUUGAACUACAAUAUUCUAGAAACCCUGCAGUAAUCGAAGGGUAUGCUGAUACAAAUUGGAUAUCAGAUAUGUCAGAUACCAAGUCUAUUAGUAGAUAUUUCUUCAUUCUAGAUACCAAGUCUCUUGAAAAUCGUCUGAACAAACUUGCAUCACAAGAUCUACAAUGGAAUCAGAGUUCAUCGCUUUGGACAAAGCAACUGGAGAAGCAGAGUGGCUUCACCAGUUUGUUGAGGAUAUUCCAAGAUGGUCAAAGCCUGUGCCUGCAAUUUGUGUUUAUUGCGAUAAUCAAUCAACAAUUGGCAGGGCAUAGAGCAAUAUGUAUAAUGGUAAGUCUUGCCAUAUUCGAAGACGACACAAUACCAUUCGACAACAACUCUCACAAGGUAUUAUCACUCUGAACUACGUGAAGUCAAAGGAUAAUAUUGCGGAUCCGCUAAUCAAAGGGCUAACUCGAGAGCUAGUUGUAAAAGUAUCGAGGGGAAUGGGCUUGCAGCCUAUGACGUUGAAAGGUAUCGUGGUGGAAACCCAACCUAGUGGAAUGGAGAUCCCAGGAUCUAGGUUCAAAGGGACAACUAAAACAUGUAUAUUAUUGUAAAUCACUGAAAAUGUUCUCUUUCCACUCAUUCCUAUGGUGCUCACAUUGAUUGGAAGAUGCAGGUUAAGCUAUGCUUUUAAUGACCAUUAAUCGUUGUUGUGAAAAACUGAGUUAAGAGGUCACCUAUGUGAGUGUGAAGUGGGGCCGCUUCUAUAAGGAUUGGCAAGGCUACAUCCUUGAAAAAACACUUGCAGAACUAGGCGACGUGUUCAUGGCCAAAACAAACACAACAGUAAGAACUAUGUUGUGACUAGGAUGGUCCUGUGUGAGAUCUAUUGACUUGGUUUACACAAAUGGCGAAAUAGUUCAAGACAUCAGGUCCACUGGUUUGCUAGUAAUUCCCAAUAGGUUUCACAAGGGAAGGUUCAAAGCUAAAUGCUACAUAUCCUAUGCAGGAUUGAUUCGUUUUACUCUCUCUUUCCUCUUGAAUUUUAGUAUCCAUUUUUUAUUCAUAUGGGGGAUUGUUAGAAUUGAAUGAAAAAUAUUGAAUAGAAGUAAUGAAAAAUAUUGAAUAGAAGUCUCUUCAUAUGUUGUAACUCAAGUAACUCAAGUCCUUUCAUUUUUUAACUUCUUUAUCAAUGAAUGGUUUAACUCCUUGAUUAAUGAGUUAGCUUUUCCUCCAUUGGUAUAAAUAGGAGUCUCUCUAGGUUGGAAAAUCACAAGUGAAAUGCAAGCUUCUUCCUCUAAGCAACAAUCUUCUUUUUCGCACUUUCAAGUUCUUCCUUGUACUUAUAAUUUCUUUGUGAGAUAGAGUAUAUCACAACUAGUUCGCAGGCGGUUAACAUAGUGCAGCGUGAACCGACAACUGAUUAUAUACUGGGAAUUGAACACCGAUUAAAACCUCUUGCACUUCGGUGAGGCGGCGAAUUCGAUUUAAGGAAACUGUGAAUACACAGGCCUUCGGUUUGAUUUGAUUCUCUAAAAUUUACCUACAAUUCCAAGUCUUGCCGCGACUAGAGGCAACCAGUGUGGAGCAAAAUCAUAUAAAAUCCAAUUGGGAGCUGAGUCUUCCAAGAAACGAGUCAAUCCAGUUUCCAUUCCAUCAAAUGCUUUCUUCAAAUAAGGCAUAUCUUCAUUUUUGAUAUCCAUGGUCGCCUCUGCAGAUUCAGGGAGUUGUUCAACCUUAGGCAAUGGAAUUUUAAUGAAGGUUAUGGAAGUAGCUAAAUGAGAAGGGAUUUUUGGGAGACGAUCAAUAUUUCUUGAAGCGGAAACAAAUGAGAUUUUGUGGCCCUUUUGAGCUAAGAAUUUGGAGAGCUGAAGGAAUGGAAUGAUGCGCCCAAAAGUCAGCCAUGGGAACAUCAAUGCAUGUAAUUUGGAAUCCAUUGUUGCAGUAAUUUUCACUGGUGGUGAUUUGUAUAUAUAAGGGAGUGAGCAUUGCAAUUCAACUCAACUCAACUCAACUCAACUGAGUUACUACCCAAACCAAAAGGAAGACUUCUUCACAAGGCACUGAGACCCAACCUUUGAAAUUGAUGUGGCUGAGAUUUGCCCGAAACAAUCCCUUUUAUCUUAGGUCAAGGGAUGUUGAGGCUCAGGUAAUUCAAUCAUGAUUUGUCACAUUAACGUCGGUACAAUUUUUCACGUCACUUUAUUCGAGUAGAGAACGUUUAGUUUAUUAUUAUUCCUUCUAAAAUAGAAUGAACAGCGAGAAUCAUGUGGUGCCAUUUGCGAUGGUGAAAGAAGUUGUCUCUAUUCUUCUUGAUAAUGAUGCGCAAGCAAUUUUAGACUUUUACCGACUCUGAAGGCGGCAACAUAGCCCUUGUUUGCCUCCAUUUUAGCCAUUGUUUGGAGAUCUUUAAUUUAGUCCUGUUUGAUUUCCAUUUUUAUCUUUCUAUUUUUUAAUCACACAAUUUUCAUUAAAAUAAUAUUAUACGUAAAUAAAAAAAAUUUCUUUAUUUUUCAUUCAUACAUUUUCUAUCAAUUUAUUAUUUUAAAAUUCAUUUUUUCAGCAAAAUGGGUGUCAAGCACCCUCUUAUUUUCUUAUAAUCAUUUCUAACUACAUAUUUAUACAAUAAAAUAUUUUACAAAUAAUUUCAACAAAUUUCACCUUUUAACGAUAAAUUCUUAAAAAAAAAAAUUACUAUUUAGAACAUAGCCUUUUCAAAUUAAAGGCCACCAAACAUGGGCUUGGUGAGGUUUUGAGAAAAAAAUGUAUUUUGAAAUGAUAAUCUUUUUGAGAUUGUAUAUGAUUAAUGGGGAGUGUUACAUGUACAUAAUUGUCUACAUAAUGAUAUUCAUAAUUACACGUGAUAUUGGAUCCAAUUUUUAAUUCAAAUCUCACACUUGCACAUCAAUAAUCGGAUGAUUGUCACAUCACAUUAUGGACACCGUUAUGUGUAAUAAUUAUGUACAAAUAGAAUUUUACAUGAUUAAUAAGUAAGAAAAUAUUUUGAAUUUACACAGAACGUUAUUUUAUUGAAGGAUGUGUGAUUAAAAAGAAAAAUAUAUUAAAUUUUUAAUGGAACCCACGGGAGUACUGUAAUAAAAGGAAAAUGACGUUUUCCAUUUUAGCACGUUUGAUUUCUAUCAAUACACUUACUCGAAUCAAAUCGAGCUUUCAGUUGGAGUCUUCUUUAACUUUAAAUUGAAUAGUUGUAUUAGCAUUGAUUUUUAGACCCAGAAUCAAUGCUAUAUACCCACGUUAGUAUUUAAACAGUCUAAAUAUUUCUCUAAAAGAGAGCAGGUUUGCUGAUUUUUUAUUCAAUUUUAGAAUUUGGGGUUUUAUUGCUGUAAUUGAAAAUACGGAGUAAGGCUAGAGGGAGUGAUUCACGUACGUUUUGUUGAAUGAUUUUAUUAGACAAUUUGUUAUUUGUUAUUUUAAAUUUAGAUCAUGUUUAUAAAUUUGUGUUAAGAUGCAAUGCAACCUGUCAUUUAUUAGUUUAUUGUGUUAUUUCAUACACUAGAAGAAUAAAAAUAGUUGUUAGAUUUUGAACAUAUCAAAAAGAAUAAUGUUAUUCGCAAUCGCUCACUACAACAUUCGCCCUCCAUAAUAUACACAUGUUAGGUUAUUAUUAAUAUAUCAAGGGCUUGUUUGACCCUUUUUUUUUUUCAAAAAUGCAUUUUGUAAUAGUGUUAUGAUGAUAAUAUGUAAUUAAAAAAUAAGAAAAAUUUUGUGGUUGUGUAUAAUAUUAUUUUAUUAAAAAAUAUGUGACUAAAAUAUGGUCAAAUCACUGUUCAAUAAUAUAUUUUGAUAAAAAGUAUGGUUCAAACAAAGGUCCAAUAUUCACAUAUCAUGUGUAUGUUAGAUAGAACCACUGUUGUAAUGAACAGUUACUAAUAACAAUAUUCUAUUGAAAAAGAGGUGUGCUAUAGGUACAUAAAACGAUAAAUAAUGGUGUCCCCUCACAUGUGACGGGACCAACUGAGCUUAGGUGGGCCCGGCAUAUGUACCACAAGGGUUUUUCAUUGAAAAUUACCAAUCCCAUGAUUGAAAUUGGAACAAUGAUUAGAUAGUCAAUUUUCUUUAAAAUUUCUGUUCAUAAGUUUGACAAUAACGAUGAAAACAAGUCUUAAUUUUAUAUUGUAAAAUGGCACUUUCUUCAAGAGAUAUGUCACGACUCUUGGUCCAUUUGAGCCCACCCACGUGACCUUUUCUUUUUUUUUUUUUUUUUUUUUUUUUUACAAGGUGUCCGGGCUUGCGUCCGACUAGAUCCUUGUCCCUGAACCUCCGACCCCUCAGCAGCUCAGGGAGGUAAAUCGCAGGAUGUGCCCUUGUUGGCUCCCAAGUUCUCACAACUCAUUUGAACUCCUUCUACAAAGAGAGCUCUCUUCACUGGGCGUUUGUUCACACCAAUGGCUUCCUCUCCAUAUGGCUCCCAGUGUUAACUCUAGGAAUCGAACUCCCCACCCUUACUUCCAGCAUCCCAGUGAAGUGAUUGUUCCACCAACUCGGAUGUGCCCUGGGGGCCCACCCACGUGUCCUUAUUAUUAUGCAGUGCAGUCAGGGGCGAAUCUAGGGUCAAAGUUCAGCAAGGGCGAAAGUUGACCGUCGACGAUUGUAAUAGUCCGAUCAUUUAUGAAAAUAUGGUUACAUAAUAUUAAAAGUUCUUCAAUAUAUACGUAAAUAAACUCAAACGUUUUCUCAAUCAAAAAAGUACCAAGUACACAUGAGUUGAAUUGAGCAGCCAACAUCUUCGCAAUUAAUUUUUUUCCAUUAUCCUAAUUUCCUAAACAUAAAUUCCCAAAUCAAUAAUCAUAAGAUUCAUAACAUAAAUUACUUAUCAUAAAUCACAAUUUUCAAAAAUAAUUUCGUAAACAUAAAUUCCCAAAUCAAUAAUCAUUCCUUAUUAAAACAUAAAUUACGUAUCAUAAAUCACAAUUCACAAACAUAAUUUCGUAAACAUAAAUUCACAAAUCAAUAAUCAUAAUUCAUAAAUCGUAAAUUACUUAUCAUAAAUCACAAUUCGCAAACAUAAUUUUGUAAACAUAAAUUCUCGAAACAAUAAGUCAAUAAUCAUAACAUAAUGAACAAUUUAACAUUCAUCACUCAACAUCAACAACUCAAGUAGCCAACGAAAUUAAACAAAAAUGAAACCAAAAAAAAAGGAGAGAAAGAGUCACCAGUCACCAUACUCGGACUCGGCUCGGUAGAAGAUAGCAAAAAUUGCAAAACACGUCCUCUUCAGUCUCCUCUAGAAGAACGCAGAAAUUGCAAAACAUGUCCUCUCCAGUCUCCUCUGUGCAGCAUAAUAGAUGAAAUGAGCAUCCUUACUUAUUAAAUUAUUAAUUAUAACUUUCUAAUUCUAGUAAAUUGCACAAAAAAUAAAUCAAAAUUUUUAGACAAAUCACAUAUUCACAGAUGGAAUACCUUAAGGAAAUUUCGUGUUGAUUAUUGUAAAAUUUAAAUUCGGUAAUUAUCAUAAACUUUCACAGUGUGUUAAGUGUGUUGAUUAGAUGUCUAAUAAAACUAUAACUUACGCAAAUUUUUUUGAAAGCAGAGAUUCUGAAAUUGCAUCAAAUUUCUAAUGAAUCUAUGCUACCUACAGCCUACCUGCCUUGCCUCUUCUUCGACUUCGAAUGGAAAUUGGAAUUAUAGAAUGGAGAUGGAGUGCCGAGUGUGUCGUGUGAAUUAGAGAGUGGAGAAGGGAGGAAAAGGGUUUGGCUUUCUUUCACGAUUUGGGAAUUGGGGGAAUUUGGAUUCUUUCUUGACUGCUUUUGCAAAAAAAUGGUUUCAGCAAGUAUAGUUUGGGCCAAUUCCAAUUACAUAUGAGAAUUCGGUAUUUGGGCUAAACAAAAAUUGGCCCAAUGGCCAACAAUUACCUCAUUCACCUCAGGCUUUAGCAAUACAGCCCAAUUGCCCAGACCAAAAAAAGAAGACGAAGAAACGGGGCGUCUUCUCCUUCUAUCUGUCAUCUUCCUCUCCCUCCAGUCGGCUCUGCAAUAUAGCCCAAUUGCCCAGACCAAAAAAAGAAGAAGAAACGGGGUCGUCUUCUCCUUCUAUCUGUCAUCUUCCUCCCCCUCCAGUCCGCUCUGCAAUUUGCUACGCCUAUUGACGGUUCUGAAGAUUCCCGCGGAGUUAGCACGCGCGGCCGCGCCCCCCUCGCCAAGUGCUGGUUUCGCGCCUGAGUGCGGUGCAUGAUGACUUGGACACUGCCAGCAAAACACGUGCACGGAAGCAACUAGGACUAAAAACGAUUUAUACCUUCGACUCGUCCAAAGUUCUAUAUUUGUUUUAUUUUAGCGUUUUAAGAUUUUGACGGAAAUCUUGAGACAACAACGAUAAUAUCCUAAAAUUUUGGCCAAGAUUUUGAUCCAAUUAUGAGCCAAAAUUUGGAGAAUUUGUGUCAGAUUCUCGUUAUCUAUCUCCCAGUUAAUCAUGUUAUAGAUACAUAUAUAAUAGUUAAUAUAAUUCUUGACAUAAUAUCACGUAGGGAUGUCAACGAGCCGACUCGUGAGCCAAAAUUUUAGGCUCGGGCUCAACUCGAGUAAAACAUCUGAGCUUUUUUUUCGAGCCCGAUUCGGACCGAGCAAAAGAUCGGCAAAAAAAUUAUGCUCGACUCGAGCUUUCGGCUCGAAUUUUGUUUGGUUUUGAAUUUUUUUAAUUAAAAAUAGUAGCUUAUUUAAGCUGCCAUUUAAGUCAGCAGGUUGCUGCCUGCUGCCCAAUUUUUUUUUUUUAAUUAAAUAUAUGCUCGGUUGUCCCGAGCCGACAAUCGAGCCGGCAAGCUAUACGGGUCGGCUCGGAUUUUGCCCGGCACCUAAAAGUGGGGCUCGACCCGAGCCUCGAGCCGGGCGGGCUUGAGCUUUUUUCGAGCUGAGCUGACGAAUCCGAUUGCCAUCCCUAAUAUCACUUGAUAACUUAUCAUUUGACUAUUUAAAACAUAUUCAACUUUUUCAAUCAAUUAAAGGGCAUGUUCUAAAUUAAGGACCCGUUUGAUUGUAAAGAUGAAAUUUGGGUGGAAAAAAAUGAAUUAUAAAGAAUUGAAUUGCUUAGAAAUUGUUUUACUUGGAAUUGUCAAUUUAUUGUGUUUGAUUGGUUUAAUUUUUAAAUAAAAAUGUUGAAAUAAUUUUUUUUGUAUUCGUUUGACUUUGUUUUACAUGAAAAUUGUCAAUUAAAGGGAUAUAAUUUAUUGAAUUUGUUUCCAUUGCAAAAAAAAAAAAAAAUGAAUAAAGCCAACAAAAUCAUUUAUCUUUUAGUGUUCAUUUGACUUUAAUUUAAAUGAAAAUUGUCAAUUAAAGGGAUAUAAUUUAUUGAAUUUGUUUCCAUUGCAAAAAAAAAAAAAAAUGAAUAAAGCCAACAAAAUCAUUUAUCUUUUGGUGUUCACUUGACUUUAAUUUAAAUGAAAAUUGUCAAUUAAAGAAAAAUAUUUUUUUACAGUUCGAGAUAGAAUUUGUUUCCAUUACCCAAAAAAAACAAUAAACUAAGCAACAACCAAGAAAACCAAUUCUCAGCUAACCCACAGGAGUACAAAUUCCUCAUUUUCGUGGAAAACAAGGUCACAUGCCGGAAAACAAAUUGCCAGGAAAAUAUUACCUAUCAAACAUAACAAAAAGUGGAAAAUGACAUUUUCAAUUCCAACUUCCAUGGAAAAUAUAGCGUAUCAAACGGAGCCUAAGAUUUUAAUAAAUUUUAAAAGAUUAUAAAUUCUUAUGAAUUCCAUGGAUUUGAAUGGAUUCUUACAAAUUUCAUAAGAAUCUCAUCAAAUGUGGUGAAAUUUCAAAAGAUUUGGUAAUAUGUACUUUUUAAGUUUUAAGCUUACAAUCCAUCCAAAUAUUCUAAAAUCCUUCGAUUAAUGAAACUUUUACAAAUCCACUAGUUAUUGAGUAUACUUAAAUGUUAAUAGAUUUUAUUAAAUUUUAUUAAAAUCUCAAUUGGAGAUACUUAAAUUUAAUGAAUUUUGUUAAAAUAUAUUAAAAUCUCAAUUGAAGAAACCUAAAUUUAGAAUGACUUAUUAAAUCCAUCACAAUUUUAAUUGAAGGCACCCUCCAAAUCUUGUCAACACCUAUUAUGUAACUAUGUUUAUCACCUACUUUUGGACAAGGUAACAUUUUUCAUCUCCCAGUACAGUAGAUCUUCAAAUCAGGUUCUUUGAAACAUAAAUUGAUUAACACAAGAGGGGGUGAAUAUUGAUUUCACUUUGAUCAUUAUAUCUGCCUGUAACUAAUAAAGAGAAUAAUUAGGGGAGCAAAACAACUCUCUUUAAAGAACUCGAAAAAAUAGUCUCGUUACUACAGAAGAAGGGAUGUCUCCCCUCACAGUGAUCAAGAUCGGACGACUGUUUACAAAAGGUGUAGUGUCUAUCUUUGAAAAAGGAACUGCGGAGGGAAAGCUCCACACUGGAUAGCACAAAGCAUUUGGGCACAUGCUUUGACUAAGAGGCGAAACAAACGUUAAUAUAACCAUCCAAGAGCAAUUUGAUUGGUCUUAAUUUAUUGUCAAGAUGAGUGCGAAAUCGAACAAGCUUUAUUACCAAUUUCGAUGUGUAAAGAUUUAAGAAAGUUCAUCUGCGUACUCAUUUUAGUAUUUAAGAAAGUCAAAAUUUAUUAUAAUCCACGAAAGAAAGAAAUAUUUAAAAAUUUAUUUUUUCUAAUAACGUAUAACAUGUCAUUUGUAAAAAAUAUCGAAGACGGAGAAAUCAAACCGUACCAAAAUGUUUCUAUGAAUUGAAAAUGAUGAUAAUUUAAACGAGGACAAAGAUUCUCUCUCGGUAGUGUAAUACUAAUUUUAGAAGUUCGAUUCAAACAUCAUCAACAUCAUUUUUUGGCAGUAGUAUUAUGAAAAAGACGACUGACUUUUCGGAAAAUUAUCGUAAACAAAAAUUGGCGAGAAUCUAACCAACAUUUGAUGAAACAGGGUAGUAUGAGUCGAGGUCGAAUAACCUCACGUGGUGCUUCAAGUCGAGCUUGACGGUACAGAGUCGAAUGACUUAACUCAUUUAACACUCCUAGAUAUAAUUGACCCAUUGAGCCCAUUUGAUUUUUAACACUAGAUCCAUGUUACUGUUCAUUUAAACAAAUUUAGUCCUGAUCGAACAACCUUUAAAUAUGAUCAAUUCACAUUUAUCGUGCAAAAUUGAAUGAUUCCGAAAUUGAAUAUUCUAUUUUUUACAGUGUAAACUAAAAUUCUUGGAUGUCAAAAGGAUUGUCUUGUCUUGAUUAUUUAUUGUUCUUUCUCCUGUAGAUUUCAGAAUAUAUAAUGAUCAAUAACAACGUUCUUGGAUGUCAAAAUUAAGUGUAAAGGCAGGACCACACGAUAUUAAAAUCUAGAAACAAGAAGACCUCAAUCGAACAAAAAUAAAUUGCAGAAAAUUAAAGGAACACAAAGGAAUUAUUUCGGCCUAAGCCCCGGAGGUUCGGCGACCACAUCUAAUGCCUACAUCCCCGUUGAGCAUCCAAAAAUUUGGAAUAUGCUUGGUUGCACUAAACAGCCAAAAAUGGCAACAGAUUUACAGAUUGUUCAGAGAGAUGAAAAUGAGACUUAUCUCUCAAAUAUAGCAUUGGAUCUACAGAGUUCACUCAGAUCUCAGCCCACAAAACCUUCGAACACCACCAAAAUGAUACAACAAAGAAAUCACUCAGAUUUCUUAACCAUUCACACAUAAUACAAUAAUCGAAGGAAGAUCUCACUAUACUCUAUGUAAAAUCAGAGAUUUUACACAUGAGACAUUCAAAGAGAAUCAACAUCUCUCAAAUCGCCAAUAUUUUUCUGUCUGAAAACCCUAGAGUCGAGAGCAAGAUGAAGGGUUGUGUCUGACGUUCCAGAAGGCUCCAUCGUUUUAACAAAGGGUAUAUGAACCGGUUUAAUCCAACAUCCAGAGAUAGUCCACGUGUUGGCCAUUCAGUAAAGUGUCAACACUUAUUAAAUUGCGUUUGAUAAAAACAUGGUUUUAUCACAAAUCAAAUUCUGGAAGCAUUAAAUCAACGAGAACAGGGUUCGACUCCAACAAUCUCUACCUUGCUGCCAGAAUUUGAGCUAUUAGUGCAGCCAGGAGCAUGAUCUUACGUCUUUUUCAUUUGCUUCAAGUACCUGUAUACGAAUCACAAAGAAUCAACAGAUAAAAGUUUCAAGCAGUUCAAGAAUUUGUUUAAAGGAAUUACUUUUGUACCCAUAUCAGAUGGAUUAAACCGAGUAGAAACUUUUUCAAUCUUAAUUUCACCUUUUGAGAUUAUAUCUCUUAUAAAAUGAUAUUUAACAUCAAUAUGUUUUGACCUAUCAUGGAACAUGGGAUUUUUACUUGGGUGAAUAGCACUUUGGUUAUCAGAAAAUAGCACAAUGUGGUUAUCAUUGAAACCCAUUUCAGACAAUAAACCAUUCAACCAUAUUCCUUCUUUAACAACAUCAGUUGCAGCUAUAUAUUUUGCCUCAGUUGAGGACAAAGCCACAACUUUCUGGAGUUGAUAUUUUCAACUGAUAGCAGUACCACACAGUGUAUAAAAAUAAGAUGAGGUUGACUUUCUAUUAUUUCUAUUGCCAGCAAAAUCGGAAUCAGUAUACCCUUUUAAACUUAUUUCAUUUUUAUCUGAUUUAAACAUUAAGCCUAAAUGUAAUGAUCCCUUAAGAUAUCUCAAUAACCAUUUUAAGGCAUACCAAUGUUCUUCACCAGGGUUACUCAUAAACCUACUUAAAAUGCUAAUAUUAUAUGCAAAAUUAGGUCUGGUGCAUAUCAUCAAAAACAUCACAGAGCCAAUUACAUUAGCAUAUGAAAUUUUUGACAUUCUGGCAUAUUCAUCUUCAGAUUUAGGACAAAAUUCAGAAGACAAUCUAAAAUGACUAACAAGCGGCAGUGUUACAGGCUUACAAUCAUGCAUGUUGAAUUUUUUCAAGAUUUUAAACACAUAGUCACAUUGAUUUAAAAACAACAUAUUUUUAUCCUUGUUUCUCCAAAUAUGUACGCCCAAUAUUCUUCUAGCAGCACCAAGGUCUUUCAUAUCAAACUCGGAACUUAACUUUGAUUUAAUGUCAUCAAUUUUUGAUUUAUCAGAACUAGCCAACAACAUAUCAUCCACAUAGAGAAUCAGAUAUAAUGAGUUUUUAACUCCGCUACCUUUGCAGUACAAGCAAGUAUCAUAUUGGCUUCUUUUAAAUCCAACUUUCAAGACAAAAGUGUCAAAUCUUUUGUACCACUGCCUAGGUGUCUGCUUUAGGGCAUACAAGGAUUUCUUUAACAAACAGUGUUUUCAGGAUCACCUUUCUCAAAAUCAAUUGAUUAUCUCAUGUAUAUUAUUUCAUCUAAUUCCCCAUAAAGGAAAGCAGUUUUAACAUCUAGUUGAUCAAGUUCCCAUUUAAAUUGUGUAACAAGUGCAAGUAGACAUCUGAUAGUAACAUACUUAGCAACAGGAGAAAAAAUUUCAGUGUAGUCCACACAUUCUUUUUGUGUGAAACCAUUUGCUACAAGUCUGGCUUUAUAUCUAAUAUUGUUAUCAUCACCUUCUCCAGAUUUUAUCUUAUAAAUCCACUUGUAAUCAAUCAAUCCACUUUCUAAGAAUUUGUAUACGUCCUUGACCCAUAAUUAUGUUAAACUCAUUGUCAUCUAACAUUCCUAAGGUCACUAAGUUCCUUUUCAAAUUUGGGACAUGUCUUGUGUUCUCUAGGAACAAAAUAUUACCAUUUUCUAAUAAUAAUUUGACAGUCCCAAUUCCACUCACUUUACAUGCAAAGUUGUUGCCCAUUAUAACCUGUCCCCCUUUGAUUCUUUAUAAGUUUAUAAAACAAUUUUUAUUGGGACACAUAUGAAAAGAACAUCCUGAGUCAAGUAUUCAUUCAUCAGUUAGGCAUUUUUUAGCACUUACUAACACAAAACCAUUUUUGUUUUAGUUUUGUCAUAGGCCAGUGCAUUGCUUCUAUCAAGACCUUUUUUUUGAAUCAUUUUUCUUUUUAAAACAAUCUUUUGCAAAAUGACUAAGUUUACCACAAUCAUAACAUUAUUUACCUUUUGCAUUACUCUUGGUCUUACUUCUGUCAACCCAUCUCCGAUUUGUUUUUGAAAACUUAAAAUUUUGUGUAGGUUUUUCAAAAGAUUUUCCUUUAGUUAAAAAACUAGUUCCAGUGUGACUGUUACUUAACUCAGCCUUGAUUUCUAAAGCUUUAUUCCUCAAAGCAUUGGUUAUAUCAUCAACAGUGAGUUCAUCACUACCAUAUUCAAGGGCAACUUUAAUAUCCUUGUACUUGUCACUUAUGGAGUUUAACAAAACUACAGUCAAUUGAUCUUUUGAAAGUUUUUCAUUACAAUUGGUCAAGUCUUGGGUAUGUUUUGUGAACCUACUAAGGUUCUCUUCUAAGUCAACUACAGGAUCCAUUUUAAAGGAUAAGAAUUGUUUUAAAAGAAAACAUUAGUUUGGAGUGGUUUUGGUCUCAAACUUAGCCUUAAGUUUGGCCCAAAGAUCAGAGGCAGUAGUAGUUUCACCUACCUCUAUGAUCACAUUAUCAGACAAAUACAGAAAUAUAGUACUCCAAGCAAUUUCCUCAAGUUCAAAUUUUUUAUUAGGAGCUAAGCCCUCAGGCCAUGAAUCAUCUAAAGACUUGGCACAUUUCAUUAGCAUCAAAAUUGCUCUCAUUUUCUGACUCCACAUAUCAAAAUCAAUUUUACCAACAAACUGACUAACUUCAAUUUAGCAGUAGCCAUAGUGCAGACAAAUUUUCAUGUAAAGAUCAAUUUGGACUUACAGUAGUUUAAACGGGGGAGUCAAGAAAUGCCAAUUUGUAUCAAGUUUGAAGUACAGUAUAACACAUAGUAAUACAAAGUUUCACAAUUCUCGCAAUAUUGGAAGAAAACAAGCAAGAUCAAUUAACAGACAACAAUCACAGAGAUUGAAUACAAGGUUUCACAGUUCUCUCCAGCAAGAUUCUCCAAGUGCACACCCGUACUUGAUUUAUCUCAUAUUUCAGGGGCCUCGCAGGAGUCACUGGACAAAGAUUAGUCUCAAGGGGGUUUCAACGGUGCAUCAAAAAAUCAAGGGAAAAUUUAGGACACUCAAGUUUUUGAAAGUUAAUUUACGAAAAAUUAAAAAAGAUCUCACCUAGCGAGUUGAAUAACUCGUAUUGUUCUCAAUCUGCGUUUUCAGCAGUUCCAAAAAUUCAAGACCGUUGCAGGUCCACCAGUUUCUCUAAGAUCCAGGUGUCUUGUUCCUUUGGACGGGGCUCUGAUACCACUGUAAAGGCAGGACCACACGAUAUUCAAAUCAAGAAAUAAGAAAACCUCAAUCGAAGAGAAAUAAAUUGCAGAAAAUUAAAGGAACACAAAGGAAUUAUUUCGGCCUAAGCUCCGGAGGUUCGGCAACCACAUCUAACGCCUACAUUCCCUGUUGAGCAUUCAAAGAUUUGGAUUAUGCUUGGUUGCACUAAACAGCCAAAAAUGACAACAGAUUUACAGAUUAUUCAGAGAGAUGAAAAUGAGACUUAUCUCUCAAGUGUAGCAAUGGAUUUACAGAGAUUCACUCAAAUCUCAGCCCACAAAACCUUCGAACACCACCAAAAUGAUACAACAGAGAAAUCACUCAGAUUUCUUCACCAUUCACACAGAAUACAACAAUAGAAGGAAGAUCUCACUAUACUCUAUGUAAAAUCAGAGAUUUUACACAUGAAACACUCAAAGAGAAUUAACAUCUCUCAAAUCGCCAAUAUUUUUCUCUCUAAAAACCAUAGAGUUGAUAGCAAAAUGAAGGGAUGUGUCUGACGUUCCAGAAGGCUCCAUCGUUUUAACAAAGGGCAUAUGAACCGGUUUAAUCCAACGUCCAGAGAUAGUCCACGUUUUGGCCAUCCAGUAAAAUGUCAACACUUAUUAAAUCGUGUUUGAUAAAAACACGAUUUUAUCACAAAUCAAAUUCUGGAAGCAUUAAAUCAAGGAGAAUAGGGUUCGACUCCAACAUUUAAAGUUGUUAAAUUUUAACUGCAAAACUUCAAAUCAUAAAUAUAGCAUGACGCCAUUUUCAACGCUGUAUCAAAUUUUGCACCAAAUUAAAAUUCAUCUACAAUCAUUAUAGCAAAAUUUACACCAAAUGAACAAUAUUUAACCAUUUUCUUUCCCCUUUUUUAUUCUUUAUAAUUUAUUUAUUUGAAAUAUUAUUUAUUUAAUUAUUUUAUAAUUACAUGAAUUACUAAAUAAAUACUAAUGUUAUAUUACGGAAAAGAUUAAUUUCAUUAAUAAAUAUAAAAAAACAUAGUAUAAUUAAUAAAAACAUUAAAACACGAAAAAAUUAUAUCAUGCCAUCAAAAAAUAGUAGAUUAUCAUAUGUAUAUCGUUGUUUACUAAACUAUGCAUUUUUUUUUAUGUAUCAUUUUCUUUAAAUAAAAUUAGAUUAUCAAAUGUACGUCGUUGUUUAAUAUAUUUCGUGUUAACUGUAAUAAAUAAUUGUGUUUUUUAUGUUUUAAAUUUUCUUCUUCUUUUAAUUAAUUCAUUAAUUAUUAUUCCUUAUAUUUAAUGCAAAUAGUAAUAAUAAUAAUUUAUUGUACUAAAAAAUAUAUAGCACAAAUGACACAAAUACAUUUAAUCAAUUUAUUUGGAAAAGAAUAAGAUAGGGCAAAAAAGACUUUGACCACUUUGCACCAUUUUGCACCAAAAUGGUGCAAAGUAUAGUGUUCCAUUGAAGCUCAUUUGCACCAAAAAAUGGUGCAUUUUGGUGUUUUGGCGUUGAAGAUGGUAUGAGACAAACAAAUUGUAACAUCUGAACAUAAUUGGAAAUUCUUAGUGCUCCAAAUAACAAGAAGUCAAGAAUUAUGAUCUUCUAAUGGAAAAUUAUGCACUGGUACUUGUAGCAGCCCUUAACGUGAGCCUAGCGUUUUCAAGAUAUUUAAUGAAAUCAUCAAUGUAGCUAUCGUGUAAUUUCUUGUUCCCAAAUAUUUCACUCAUUUCUUUUGCUUUGUCUCGAAAUUUCUUCCCCUCAUUUUCAACCAUUACCAACUUUAUCGAGUCGGACACAGUGUUCUUCGUAUAUGAUCCGUCUUCUUCGUUUUUCGGGACUUCUAUGCCAACCUGCUUGUCAGCAAUGAUUCUAGCAUUCAAACCUUGAUCAACCAGAAAAGGUAAGGCAAUUAAUGGAUGACCAAAAGAGAGACCCUCUAUAAAAGAACUCCAACCACAGUGAGUCAAGAAAGCACCCACCGAGUCAUGACUCAAUAUCUUCAGCUGAGGUGCCCAACUUUUCCACACCAUACCCCGACCCUUAACUCUCUCCUCGAACCCGUCUGGUAAAAUCACCGAGUAGGAACCGUCCGACCCAGAUGGCUUCCUCAGUGCCCAAAAGAAGGGAACAUCCGAUAACUCCAAUCCAAGAGCUAACUCAUAGAUUUGAUCUUGACUCGGAGUCACCUCGCUCCCUAAUGCUACGUAAACAACUGACUGUAUAUUUUGAUCAUCAAGCCAAGUUUUGAUUGCAACCCAUGAUUGACUGUCAUCUUCUUCCACUUGGGGUGGCAUUAAACCUACUGGAAUAACUGGCUUAUGGUGAAGCUCUUCAAGUAAUUUCAACCAAUCCGGUUCAAACUCGUUGCAGUGUCUUAUGAAUAUAACCUCGGACCCAUGAAUUACGUUACCUCCUCGAUAAAUAUCUGAAACUCCUGAGUCAUUCUUUUGAUUUGAUGCGACGAUCCAGUUUGCUUCGGAUCUUCGAUAAGCCACUUUUGUCUCAAAUCGGACCCACUUUGGUGGAAUCAUAAACUCUUCAGCUUUUUUCCUUUCAUCAGACCCGUUAAUCAAGAUCUCAGAUGGCCCAAAGAAAGCUAAAAACCAUGCGUUCAUUAUCAUAAAAAAGGCACGAGAAAUUUCAAGUCUUGCUGCAACUGGAGGCAACCAGUGUGGAGCAAAAUCGUAGAGAACCCAAUCUGGAAGUGAGUUUUCCAAGAAACGAGUCAACUCAGUUUCCAUCCCAUCAAAUGCUUUCUUCAAAUAGGGUAUAUCUUCAUUCCUGAUAUCCAUGGUUGCCGCUGCAGAUUCAGGGAGUCCUUCAACUUUAGGCAGAGGAAUCUUAACUAGGGUUAUGGAAGAAACUAAAUGAGAAGGGAUUUUUGGGAGACGAUCAAUAUUUCUUGGAGUGGAAACAAAUGAGAUUUUGUGACCCUUUUGAGCUAUGAAUUUAGAGAGCUCAAGGAAUGGAAUAAUAUGACCAAAAGCUAACCAUGGGAACAUCACUACAUGUAAUUUGGAAUUGUUAGCCAUGGAUAUUAGAUUCCAGUUUUGCAGAAAUUUUCACUGGCCUAUCACCCAAUUUAUCGAGGGACAUCUAAGCAGACCACGCGUAUUAUUAUAUUAUUAUUAUAUAUUUCAGGAAUAAACAGGAGAAUCAUUGGUUUUGUGAUUUGAUUGAUUUAUGAAUUUAGCCGCCGUUUAGAGAUCAUUUUACCCAAAAUCUCAUUAAUCUAAAGUGAAAAACUAAUUAAAAAAUGCAAAAGUUGAAGUUACUUUGUCAGACAUUAAUUUGCAUUUAUUGGACAAUUGGAAAUCGAUUGGAUGCAUUUGCCUAUAAUAACAUGUCAAGGGCAAAUUUGGACAAUGAAGUGAAUUAUAUGAAACACUUGGUCGAAAAAUCGAAAAAUGGUUAAGUCGAAAAAUGGUAGGCUUGGUAGCUGUCUUGAUCCAAAUGAUGCAACAAUUUCAUUUGUUUUUCGUUUAAAUGAUGAGAGAGAUGACGUUGACACUUGAUAAUGAUUCCAUUCCAUUAAAAGAAAAAAUGUGAUUGUUGCAGUCAUUUGAGCCCACACCUGAAAGAAGAGGCCAACAAUUGCAGCUAGAAAUUAUUAAUAAUGGUACAAUUUUUCAUUUUUUUGCCCAAAUAAUGUGGUCCAAACAGGGGUUUAGGAUUAUUCUUCGUGUACUAGAGGUUCACAAAAUCCCUACCGAUUACUCACAGUAGAUGGGUAAAUGAUGAAAAAGAUGACGUUGACAGUUGAUAACAAUGCUUUAUAUUUAGAAUUAGUCUCGAUGUACAGAAUCACCCACAUGUUGUGAGUAGUCGAUAAAAACACCUACCAGAAAUAAUUGUUAUAUUUAUUGCUAUAAAACUUUCGAAGCAAGAGAUAUUGUAAAAUAUGGAGGCAAAUGGGGCAAAAGAAGUCUCGUGUUAGACCCGGCUUCUUGUAAGUAAAUGGUGUUUCAUUUUUGUACGCGUCUCAAAAUCUACAAGUGAUUAUUAGACUAUUAUUAUUUUGCAUGUUCUGGCACAUGAUAUUUAAAUUAGUUCUAAAGCUUUGUUUAACGGAGAAGGAAAGACAAAGAUAAACAGUCCCAAUUCCCCAAGUUGGGUGAACUUUGAUUAGGCCUCGGAAAAAGUCGAGGUGGGUUUGAAAAUAUAACAAGAUUCCAAAUUAAAACACAAUUAGUUGGAAUUUUGCGGGAAAUUUUGUAUUAUCUGGUAAAUGAAAAAUUAAGUCAAAUUUAAAUCACUUAAAUACGUGAAUUAUUGAAAGAGUGCGUAGAAUAUUAUGGAAUAUUUUAGAAAUUAUUUGGCUGAAAAUGUGUCUUUUUAUAUAAAAGAUUAUGAUUUUUGAUAUUAUCAUUUUUCAAGAAAUGUGUCUCUUUAAAUAUAGAGAUUAAUUCCAAUAGUUGUGUCUUUUCCAUAGAUUGUAUCUUUUGAGACAAACAUUUUUAACAUCUAUAUAUUAACCCUAUAUGUUUGGAUUUAAUUUUAAGAAUUUCAUUUCAUUCCAUAAUUCCAUAUUAUUUAUUUCAUGUCAAGUUACUUAAAAUACUUUGUAGAAAUAAUUAUGUCUUGUAUCAAAGUCAUGUUUAUGGUAGAGAGAGAAUUUCAUUCGAGUUCCUGGUCGAAGUCAUUUGGAGUGCUCCUAUGGCUUGACGUGAUCGUUUUAUCUUCGAAGAUGAUUGCUGGAAAACCGUUAGCACCGAUGCGAGACAUAUUCAUCUUAAGGACCAAGUGUCAAACACUUGCCUUGUCCAAAAAUUCAUCACUUGUAUCUUUCUUCCUUCAUUUUCUGAUUUCUCUUAAUUAUGGUUUGAUUUCAGACACUGAUUAACAUUAUUUAUAUGAUUGUUCUGCGAGGUUUGAUUCAAAUAAUAACUUGAUUUCGUUCAAGAAUCGAAAGAGAUGAAUCCAUAUUCAUACAUUCGGAUUCGAUAACUAUUAUUGUUUUGCUUUUCAAAUUCUAUUUCGAUAAGUCGAAAUUACGUUUCGAUUAUAUGCAAAUAAACAAUAUGCUUUUGUGAAUAUAAUAUGCAUAUAAUCGAUGUAUUCCCCAACACAAUUUUGGCGAGUUAUUAAAUUUGAAUUCAAUUGGUCCCUCUAUAGAAAACUUGAUAAAUGUAUUAUUAUUAUUCAGUUCAUUCAAAUAUAAAUGGACAAAUAUAUAAUUGAAUCAACAAUGACACGUCAAAUCGAGUGAAUCGAUUGAUUUAAAUCAACACAUUUUGAAAAUAAAAAAGCCAUCAGGACAGGUUCAAAACCAGGCCUAAAUACAUGGGGCGUUGCCUGAUUUUGAACCUGGCCAAAAAGCAGGAUUGUUUUGAAAAUUUACAAAAUAGAAGUGCAAAUAUUUGAACCAAUCACAUCGGGUAUGCAAGAGUCAUAUUUUUCAAUUGGAAUACCCCCAUUAUUUGAUAGAAUUGGCUCUUGUUUGAGCUCCAUUAUUUUCAUAAAAAUGUAUUUUUGAAUAGUGUAUUGAUGGAAAAUGUAUAGUUAAAUAGAUUUGCAUGUAAUAUUAUUUUAUUGAAGAAUAUAUGGUUAAAAUGAUAUUAAAACACCAUAAUGUACACGUGGCAUAACAUCUUUGCAGGGUUGGAAAAUAGUGUACGUUAUGGACAUCCUUAUGAAUACCAUAAUCUACAUGUAACAUAACCCACGAAACAUACAUCACAUACUUUUUAGAUAUUUUUCAAAAAAAAAAAUUAUAUAUAUAUAUAUGUGUGUGUGUGUGUGUGUGUGUGUAGAGAGAGAGAGAGAAGUUAUAUGAAAAACUCAUAGUUAUAUCUAUGCCCCCCUUUUUUGAAAAUAAAUAAAUAAAUCACCUUCAGACUCUGCAAUAUUUUAUCAAUUGACAAGUUACCUACUGACCUAGUGCUUUGGCUAGAUUAAUGAUCAGAUUGGACGUGAUAGCUAUUGUACCAUUGAUGCAAGAAAAGAUCAAAACGGACAUUGCACCAUUUGAUGCAAAAAAUGGUGCAAUGAACAGUGUUGUACCAUUUUGCACAAAAUGGUGUAAUAGGUAGGGGUGGGCACGGGUCGGUUCGAUUCAGUUCGGUUCUCUUUAGAACCGAACCGAACCGAACCAAACUUUUCGGGUAUCUAGUAAAUGAAACCGUCGGGUCCAAAUAUAAUUAUGGAACCGUUCAGGUUCGGUUCCAUUCGAUUCAGUUAGGUUCAGUUCGGUUCCGUUCGAUUCUGUACUAUAAUUAAAUUUUUUAACAUUUAUAACAACAUUAUAUAAAUACGACUAAUGAUAUAUUCAAUGGUUUUGGAAUGUCAGAGACUAGAAAACUACCUUGUUCAAAUGAUUGCUACGAUCAAAACUUCGGUCGGCGAAAGUCACGGCUUCGAUCGGAGGUCAUAGUGUCGGCCGACGAUUGUAUAAGUUUUGGAAUAUUAGCGAGGCUGCGAGAGUGAGUGUGAGAGUCGAGACAAUAUUAUGCACUUUAUUGUAGGUGUUUAGGGUUAUUUAGUGGAUUUGAUCUUGUUUGGCUAAGAAAUGAAACAAUAAAAUGGGUAAUUGGGCCAAAAAUUAAAAAAAUUAGAAAUGAAACAAAUUAUUGGGCCAAAAAUUUGGAUUUAGAAAUCAUUGAUUUGGUAAUUUGUUUAGAAAAAAUUAUAUUAAAAUAAUUUGAUUUACUCAAUAUAAAAAAAUAAAAAAUUAGAAAUAUUUGGUUCUUAUCCGAUUUUUCGGUUCUUGGUCUAGAACCGAGAAUCGAACCGUACCCGUCGGUUCUCAAUUCAGAUACCCGUUCGGGUAUUUAAUUUGACAAGAACCGUCGGGUUCGGUUCGGUUCGGUUAGGGUUUGAUCGGUUCGGUUCGAGAGAUUUGCCCAGCCAUAGCAAUAGGGCACCAAUUGGAGAUGGCCUUAGAAGUUAGAACUACAAAAUGUGUUGAUCUCUUUUGGCUACCACAUGUCUCAAUGCUUUUCUUUCUUUCUUUCUUUCUACUUUUCAGGUUUUGUAGACCAUUAAUUUGUUUCAUUGAGCUCCAAUGUAAUCAAAAUGGAUGUGUCAAUCAAUGAGUAUUGAUGAAAGAAGCAACUCAUUAAUUCUGAUAACUGUCAGAAGGGGCAGGAACUGCUUUGGAUAGAUCUUAAGGGCAAAGUACUCAUUCCGGGCAUGACUCGGAAGAUGCACGGAUGGGGUUUCUCUCACUUUUGGCAUAGCGGUCCCCAUGAUGCUUAGCCGGUCUUUACGGACGAUCGGCCACACUGGGAUUGAGACACAACUCAGAUGCAUGCCAAUGGGACUCUGCAAUACGUCUAUUGGAAUUGGCUCUGUAUCAAUAGAAUCUCAUCAUCCAUACAUAACGAAUUCGGAUCCUUUAUGGAAGAUGAGUAAAUUCCUAGAUCUAAGAUGUGAACAAAAUUCUACCUAUAACACCUAUGUCACUGCUUGAUCAAACCAAGCCUCCACAAUUUCAGAAUCUUUCUAGCUAAUGGCUUGUUCUAGCUUUCACGUCUGCGCAUAGAAUCAUUUUCCCUCUAUUCAAAUUUGCGUGUCGCUUGAUCAAUAAAAAUCAUCAAAAAAUGCAAUGAACAGUGUUGUACCAUUUUCCACCAAAAUGGUGCGACAUGGCACCAGUUGGAGAUGGCCUUAGAAGUAAGAAUUACAAAAUGUGUUGAUCUCUUUUGGCUACCACGUUGUUGUCUCAAUCACUUUUUUUUUCUUUCUUUCUAUUUUUUCAAGUUUUAUGGACCAUUAAUUUGUCUCAUUGAGUUCCAGUGUAUUCAAAAUGGAUGUCUCAUUCAAUGAGUAUUGAUGAAAGAAGCAAUUCAUUAAUUCCUAUAACUGCCAUAAGGGAUAGAAACUGCUUUGGAUUUAGAUCUCCAGGGCAAAGUACUCAUUUCGGGUAUGACUCGGAAGAUGCAGGAAUGGGGUUUCUCUCAUUUUUGGCAUAGCGGGCCCCAUGAUGCUUACCUGGUCUUUUCGGAUGAUCACUCACACUAGGACUGAGACACAGCCCGGAUGCACGCCAACGGGACCCUCCAAUAAGUCCAUUGGAAUUGGCUCUGUAUCAAUGGAAUCUCAUCAUCCAUACAUAACGAAUUCGACCCCUUCAUGGAAACUGAGUAAAUUCCUAGAUCUAAGAUGUGAACAAAAUUCUACCCAUAACACCUAUGUUAUGCUUGAUCAAACCAAGCCUCCGCAAUUUCAAAAUCUCCCUGGCGAAUGGCCUGUUCUAGCUUUCACGACUGCGCAUAGAAUCCUUUUUCCCCUAUUCAAAUUCAGGUGUCGCCUGAUCAAUAAAAAAGCAUCAAAUAAUGCAAUGAACAGUGUUGUACCAUUUUGCACCAAAAUGGUGCAAUAGGGCACCAAUUGAAGAUGACCUUAGAAGUUAGAGCUACAAAAUGUGUUGAUCUCUUUUAGCUACCAUGUUGUUGUCUCAAUCAUUUUUUUUAUUUCUUUUUAUUUUUUAGGUUUUAUGGACCAUUAAUUUAUCUCAUUGAGCUCCAAUGUAUUCAAAAUGGAUGUCUCAUUCAAUGAGUAUUGAUGAAAGAAUCAACUCAUUAAUUACGAUAUUGCCAGAAGGGGCAGAAACUACUUUGGAUAGAUCUCAAGGAUAAAGUACUCAUUCUGGGCAUGACUCGAAAGAUACAAGGAUGGGGUUUCUCUCGUUUUUGGCAUAGCGGGCCCCUUGAUGCUUAGCUGGUCUUUUCAGACGAUCAGCCACACUGGGACUGAGACACGACCCGAAUACACGCUAAUGGAACCCCCCAAUAAGUCUAUUGGAAUUGGCUAUGUAUCGAUGGAAUCUCAUCAUCCAUACCUAACGAAUUCGACUCCUUCAUGGAAGAUGAGUAAAUUCCUAGAACUAAGAUAUGAACAAAAUUCUACUCAUAACACCUAUGUCACUGCUUGAUCAAACCAAGCCUCUACAAUUUCAGAAUCUCCCUGGCGAAUGGCCUGUUCUAGCUUUAACGUCUGCGCAUAGAAUCCUUUUUUCCCAGUUCAAAUCCAGGUGUCGCCUGAUCAACAAAAAGCAUCAAAUGGUGCAAUGAACAUUGUUGUACCAUUUUGCACCAAAAUGGUGCAAUAGGGCACCAAUUGGAGAUGGCCUUAGAAAUUAGAACUACAAAAUGUGUUGAUCUCUUUUGGCUACCAAGUUGUUGUCUCAAUCAUUUUCUUUCUUUCUUUCUUUCUAUUUUUCAGGUUUUAUGGACCAUUAAUUUGUCUCAUGAGCUCCAAUGUAUUCAAAAUGGAUGUUUCACUCAAUGACUUAUGGCCCCAUUUUUAUGUCAUUUUCAAAGCAGCAUGCCCUUUUGGUAAUGGGUUUAGGGUACUUGUGUAAUUUUAAUUGGCCAAAGCAGGGUAUUUCUGGUAUUGACUUUUCAAUGAGCAUUUUACUUUUCCUGUUCAUCUCACAAGUAUAUUGACAAAUCUAAAAAUUUUAAUUCAUCGGCAUUGUGGGAAAAUGUUUUUUGGUCAAGUAUUCUCAUUUUAAUGAGAAUCAAAUAGGGGCAUAACUUGUGGAUACCACAUUUUUGAGAGAGAGAGAGAGAGAGAGUAAACACAAUAAUAUUCCAUUGAAUUUUCAUUGAAGUUAUAAAAUAAAAUUAUUUCUAUCUGAUUUCUUCUAGAUGGUUCAUAUAAUGAAGAUGAAAAUUCACUAAAUUAUCAUUAAUGAAUCUAUCUUUAAAAUCAAUCUAAUCAAAAACGAUUUUCAAAAUGUCUUUAUGGGAGCAACCUGGGCAAUAAAGCGGAUGGGGCCUAUGGGAGAAAAGAGAGCCAUAAAGUCUAAGAAACUGAAAUGGAAUUAACUAUAGAGAACAACUUACCAUCUGUCCUUGCUUUACAUUUUUUUUAAUCUCCACAAUAAGUUUCUUUUCUUGUGCCUGUAAAAAGUCAUUUUCCUUCCAGUUUCUUAGAUGGGUUUAUCAAGCAUCCUCUUCUUUUACCAAAGCUCUGAAAAACAUAGUGUAGAAUUUGAAAUUAGAAAGUGGCUUAACUAGAAUAUUAAUAAAAUUAAUUAUGGUACAUAGAUUAUAGAUAACACCAAUCUUACCUCAAUCCUAAUCAGGAUAUUUGGUAGCCAACACAUUUAGAAUAUGGAAAAUAUUAUAGUCACAUAAAAUGGAUCCGGUAAAAUAAUGGAGCGUUUAUUUUGAGAAUAAUUUCUAUAAAUAAUUGAUAUAGGAUCAAUUUAAUACAAAUAAACUUACAAAAAUUUCUUCAAGAUCCUAAGAAGAAUAUGCUUGAACAAUUUUUUCCUUCUCUCUUAUCUUAUACCUGGAGAUAUAAAAAUCAAAGAGGGGAAAAAUCAUAUACUAUGCAAUCAAAAAAUAGUUACUAAUCUAUUGUCAUUGUAAUCUUAUUUAGACAUAGCUAAUCUUAUAUCUCCAAUAUAGCGGUCAUUUAAUAUCAGGAUAUAACAAAAUGUUAUUAAGGCAUAGCUAUUAACAAAAGAACAAUCAUAAGUUAAUCAUAGAUAACCUCUAAACAUGAUCAACAUAUGAUAAGAGUUAUAAGAAUAAAAAUGAGCACCUAAGGCGACGUUUGCAAUGAUAGAAAGAUCGGUUCAACCGAAGAAAAAAAGACCCCCUAGGUCUUCGAAGCAAGUAUUAGAUGAAUAAAUAAGCAUGAGAAGAUCAUAGACUGAUUCAAAUAUUAUGUAUGGAGACAGAUACAAAAAUGGAACUUCUAAAGCAACUAACCUUAAAAAAUAUAAGGUUUUGAAAGUGAUUUAUGCUUUUUCCAUCCAGAAUCAACAACUUUGUCAACCAUAGGAACGUACUCAUCAUAUCGUGAUAAGUUGCCG